CCCCUACAAAAAUAGACAAACACCAAAACUCGUGAAAUUCUGUUAGAUAAAACCCUAAGUCUGGGUGUUGGUUGCAUUUGGAUCAUUUUCUUUAUUUAUUUGAUGAUUAUAUUUGGUACUUAAGGACCGUCAACAACUCCCCCAAGCUUACCUCUUGCUCGUCCCUGAGCAAGGAUGAACUCAAGAGUUCGUGCAGUGGUUUCAUGCCUUAAAAGUACACACGCAUUCAAGCAAGAUCUCAUCUCUGAGUUAGAAUAAACUGUUAAGACUUAAAACUUACUCAUUUUACCUUUCACCAUGAGGCUUGUAACCGUCACUUGUGUCUUGAGCAAUUAAAAGAUAGAACGGUCAAGUCAAGUGCCAUGUCUCUUAUUCUUAAUCAGUUAUAGCUCUGGAGUUUUUGCAGAUUUUCAAAUAAAACUCAGAGAUUCCUUAUAUGAUUCUCUCAGAUCUCUCUUUUGUGGUAUUUCUAGAUCCUUACCAAGGCAAUAAUGGUAUAUGCCUUCUCUCAAAGUAUGUGGUAUUUUUGAUAUAAGGCAUAGUGAUAUUGCCUUCUCUCUCACCCUACUCUAAUAAGGUUUCGAUAUCUGGAGCUCAUAGGUGGGAGACAGCUAAUGCAUACUUACAAGACAUUUAUUGCAUAGUCAAACCAUGGAUCCAGAGAAACAAGUCAAUAAGUCAAAUCAAGAUGUGCGUGUGUGGCGAGUGAAUGGUGUAUGGUGAUGAUGGUGAUAAUAAUGGUGAAAAUCUAAUUCUACUUUUGCUCUUUUAAGGGGAUACAUACCUUUCUUGCACUUUGAAGCUUUUUGAGGAGAAUGAGAUGCUCUAUAUUUUCUUUUUCUUUUCUCUUAGGUGGGUAUCUUGUACCACUAAUUCUACUGUUGGACACUUGUCCAUUUUUACCUCUCGUCUCACUUUUUCUUUUCUUCGAGGUUCCGGGCACUUGCCCCUUUUUAUUUCCUCGUAUUAUAUUUUUUUUCUUUUUUUUAGAGCACCCAUCUCCUGAAAGAAUGUAGCAAGUGGUAGUAACCAAAAUAACUGGAGCAUUUAUUUCACAGGGAAUAACAGGGAUAGGAAAAUGUUUUUGGCUAUUCUCUCCCGGAUUAGGAGUAGAAUAAUUUUGGGUGAAUGUGGAGAUGGAAAUGAGUGGAUGUAUGUGGAUGCGUACUUCCGGAGUAGAAGCAGCAUAUACGAGUGAACAUGCAAGUGAAUCUUGAUUUUAACCACAUGACAAGCUCCUAAGGGUCUACAUAGCUUGACCACACUCAAUACUCAUAAGCAGUAAAAAGUAAAUGUUUGGCUCAGAGUCUAAUAAGCAUAUAUAUAUGGCUGUGGUAGGAUUUUAAACUCUCAUCACACAGGAACUCAUCAUGUGAUAUUUUAAAGAUUUUUUAAAGAUAAAAUUCUCUAGAAUUCCAGCAUCUCUAGGAACAGAUAAACAACAGCUCAACCUUCCCGUAUCAUAUCCGUUAACAACUUAGACUUUAGAUCAAGUACUCUUCCCACAUGUUCAGGUUUAGAGCAAGCUUUAAAUUAUAACAGUUAUGCCUAAACUUGAGAGAGAUUUCAAGUUUAAGAACUAGUCAUGGUAGAGCAACUAUUCAUCAUUUCCAUGUAAGAGUUUAUCAUGAGGGUUCAUAGCAAACUUAUUUAUUUAUUUAGCAAACUAAGCAAAGAUAUAUAUAUAAAAGCACAAAAUCUUUAUUUGGGUUUUCAUGAUUAUGUAUCUUUUAUUAUUUGAGUAAAGUAUAAACGCGAGUAGAAACACUUAGCGGGAUAAAUGGGGGUGCUCUCCCCCAAGCUGGAUUUUGAUGUAAUUUCUUCUGAUGUAGCUAGCAGGUGGUGGAGGUGUAUUUGAAAGUCGGCAGCACCCUGACACCGAUUAGGAUGUCCUCCGUCUACUAGUCUUUUUUUGAUCCUUGAAUUCUGUGGAGCUCAAAUAGACAACAAAGUUUUGUGGAACUGGUUAAGUGUUAGCAUAAAUAUCUAGCCUUUAUCAUUUUGAGCCACCUCAAUAAAUGUUACUUAUUUAGCAGGAUCAUGCACUUAUUAUUUUUAUAUUUUUAUUGUAACAUGAAAACUUAUUUAUUUUAUUUUUAUGCCACCACAGUGAAUGUACUUAUGGGUUUUAUGCCAUGAGCAUACUCACUUGGGGCUUACUAUUUUUUUAAUAUUUUUAUUUUCUUUUCAAGAUAGCAUGAACCUUAUUAACUAAGCAAACUAUUGAAAGGAAAAGGAUAACUACCAAGUUUACCUCUUGGCAAGGCGUUCGGUAUUUUUAAGUCCUCCGAACGGGACUCUCCGUUUUCUCAGUCGACCUGGGAUUCACUGGAUGGCGUAGUCGGUGGUUCCGGCGGCGCCUCCUCUUCGUGUGUAACUAUCUUCUCUCUCCACACCUGACUCGGUGCUAUGGUCUCCUCAGGACAGUUCUGUUCAUGCUAUAUGUCUUCAGACCUUAUCACUUCUCCUUCGUAGUCUACCCAUCCGUCCUUGAUGAUUUGCCUCCUCUGGUUGCGGUUGCGUUGUCUUCUUCUUGUCCUGACCUGCUUAGAGUCUUCAACUAUAUAGUUAGGGUCAGUAAAAUAGCGGUGUACCUUCUCAGAGGGGAAGUAUACGUGGACUUCUCCGAUUCCAAUGUAGAUGAUAACUUUGAUAGUGUUGAGGAAUGGUCUUCCAAGGAUGAUGGGUGGAUCGUACUCAUCUUCUCCCAUGUCAAUGAUCUGAAAGUCAUCUGGAGCUGAAUAUAUAUUGGUUGUAUGGGCAUGGUUCCAUGCAGGAGCUGAUAAGUGACUGCGGCCAUUAUGUUGACAUCAAAGCCGGUGUCGUAGAGUGUCUUCUAAACGGAGUAUCUGUUGAUUGUGCACUCAAUGCUUGGAACACCAGGGUCGUCCUUCUUGAUCAAGAAAGGUGACUUGAGUCGACGAUCUUGACCUCCUCCGACAAGGAUCCAAAGUUUUAAAUAUUCUGGACAAGACUUCUCACUGUCUUCAUCCUUUAGGUGCAUCAUUUGAUUAGGUGUGGACCUUGACGUCUGCACUUCUUGAUACGGUGUCACCUAUAUUCUUUGAUUGCCCAGUAGUUCGAAGUGCGGUGUUGGCAAUAUCCUGCUCAGUGUGUUUGUGCUCAUAGAUCCAGGUCCUUCACUUGGUGGAAUCUGGGAGUUGUAAAACUCCUCCAUGUUUUGCUUGAAGUGUACCUGCUCAUAGAGACAAGGCAGAGAUCAAGUGCAUGGGCCCUGUUGGUGGAAAACACCAACAGAACCAAAAGUGUAUUUGUUCUUCUCUAACCUUAAGCAUAGUGAGCAAGAAAAAGUUGAUGGAUCAUGAGUGUAGCAUUUGUCCGAUCAGAUGGCUCAACCUAAUGGAAAGAUAAUCUAUCUAUAUUUAUGUUUUGUUUAUAUCUUCCAAAGAUUGAAUGUGCAAUACUUUAGCUUAUAUGAUUAGGAGUGUGGGAUCACGAAGGUAGUACUAAUAACAAAGAUUAAAGGACUAAACAUGUUGAAUUAAUUGAGUUGGUUAAUUUGGAGUUACAGAUCAUACAUGUUUGUCUCUUUAUUUUGUGUGAAUGCCAGAACCAAGGAGAAGUUUAUAAAAGUGAUAGUCAAGUACCUUAAGGUGUUACCUUACUUGAAGAGUGAUGGUAUAGUAUCACCUUGUGGAAGCUUUCCUUUCUUAGCGGUUGUGCAUCGUGUUUGUGGCACCCUCCAUGAAUCAUCUCUUAUGAGCUACGUCUUUCUUGUGCAAAUUAUUAAACUUCACGUGUCACUUUCUUCAUCUCCAAUGUGAGUUUAUCUCAGGACUUCCCAGGUUGAUAUUGAAAGUUUUCAUGCAGGGGUUAGUCCCACAAAAUAUACCAAUAUCUACUCAAGCAGUUUUUAGUUGAGUAACCAAACUAGACUCCAUGUCUAAUCAGAUUAAGGAAGGCUAUUUAACCUAAGCACCAUGCUUAAUUUAAAUGCCAAUGGAAGUAUGUCGAGUACUUCCAAACCAACACUGGCUAGUAAAUAGAUAAAGGUAGCAUGACAGCAUUUAUAGAGAUCUACUCAAGUGGAGAUGAAGUAGUGUGAUUAGUACUUAACAAAUUGAGCAUCUCUCAAAGGUAGGGACAACCAACAUAGCAACAUGGCAAAGGAUGUUUUUAUGUAAAGUACUCCCCCAAGCUUGAAUUUUGCGAAAGUCAAAUUUGGAUGAAUUUAAUUCAAUGUUGUAUGAUGGUUGGUUGGACAUACCUUGUGCUUGUCAUUCAUCCGAUCUUCUUGCUCCAAUCUUGGAAAGGUUAGUGGCAAGAAUACCCGAAGGAAUAUUUCUACAAUUAUCUCAAUAUGCUCAAUGCAUGAGGCAAUGUUGCAAAUUCAUGUUACGAUCUGAUAAGUGCUUGUUUAAGGACACUAAGCUUAUCCUUGGGAAACCAUCAAAUUAUGUCGGCGAAGAGAUUUCCCCUCCAACGCUGACCUAUAUCAAGAUCAACUCAACGAGAUCUACAAUAUUUAUUAUAGACAUAUGCAUCGACAACCGCCCUUUUAAAGUUUUUAUAAAUAGAAAAGAAGAGGGGGUUGGAGAUCUCAAAUGUGGUGAUGUUGGAGAGACCAAUUGAUUGGGGAGAUGUUUUAUAUGAGCAAGGACUUGGUGAGGUAUUUAUGAAAUAACUUCCAUGCUCACUGUUGUUUCUCUCAUUCUCAAACUCCAAGGAUGAUUCUUGACGAAUGCUUGAAAUUCCUCUAGGACUGUCUCUCAAGUUUGUUUUAUCUAUCCAUUCAAUGGUGAUAGCACAUGGAUUUUUAAUGCCCUCUAGCCAUUGAUGUUGCUCUUCUCGAUCCUCCUUCUUAUGCAUGGGAUGUCUAGAGAGAUUCAUAGGAUUAUCGGGAGGUUCAAGAUAAAGAGCAUAGUAGAAACUAUUAAGCUCAAGGAUGGGAUGGAUAGCCGAAUCAUGGGAUUGGAAUGUUUGGAAAUCGGCUAUUGAAACUUCCUUUCCUUGUUUGGGAGAUGAUUCCUUCUCUAUCUCUAAGAUUUUUCUAUGAAGACUAGUACAAGAAGGAUGUCCACAAAUGAAGACAUACCUUCCAUUACUGAUAGAUAAAGAAAGAAACACUCUACCAAAGGUUAUAUGAUUAAGACCAAUGUGAAAAUAUCGAGAAAAAACAUGGUCUUGUAGGGCUAGGUUUAAACCAGAAUUUAUAGAAAGAUUAACAGAUUCCCUAGGUGUAGCUAAAAGUGCAUUAUCUUCUUGAUUAAAAGAUAGGACCUCAGCUAUAGAAAAGGGUUGGUUUUGACCUAUUGCAAUCAACUCCGGACACAGAUCAUAAUUAGGGGCAGGACUUGUUGACUCCCAUGGUCUAUGGCUGGUCUCCGAAGGUGCAAAGAAUUCAAUAAUAGGUAUGGAAUUUAAGUUAUCCAUAAAGAUAAAAAUAAAAAGAUAAAAGAAUAAAAGUAUAAAAGUAUAACACAAGAUAAUAGCAAGACUCAAAGUUAUCUCAGCAAACCGUCUUUCUCCCCGGCAACGGCGCUAGAAAUGAUUGUUGAUAUUUGGUAACGCAAUUAGGAAAUGAUCCGCAAGCGCACGGAUAUCGGUGAGCGUUUCACCCGGGAGGUUUUCCAGAGUUAUUGUAUUUAUAUUUUUACCACUGGGAGAAAGGGUGCAUCUGACUAACCAAAUCUAUUGCUACUAUCCCUUUAGGCUACAAAGAAUGUUUCUCGAUGUGAGUGAUGUAUAGAGAAGACUGCAACCGUAGUCUCGUUCUAACCUUGGUAAGGAUGAUCUACUGUUCUAUUUGGGAGGCUCACGGAAUCUAGACAACACAAAGGAUGUUCGACCCGCACCUAUAAACCUACCCGUCCUGCUAACAAGAUAUGGGAUACAAAGGUAACUCGGAAAUGUCACGUUCCUCGCUACUACCACGGUCCAGCUAGUCAGGGGAUAUCUAUGAGUACCCUAGCCUAAACACCACAUUUACGCUAGCAAUGAUUACUCUAAUACUCAACCGAAAGAGGAUUAAAGUGAACUCAUAAACCAAAGAACAAUAAAACAAGAACUUACUAGAAUUAGAAGUCGAAAUACUGAAGAAUCUUAGGAGCAAGCCUCGGGUUAGAAGACUUGAUCCCGCAGGUACAACUCGAAGUAGACACCGACAGGCCGGCCUUCCUCCGAUCUACACCUCCACUCUAUCUCUCUCAAUCUAGUAGAAACUAGAAGAUCUAUUUCUACUUACAUUGGUUGCUAAGCCUAAAAAGUAAUUUUAUAUAGAGAAGAGGUUUUCCUUCGAGGGCACCCCUCAACUCUAUGAUAACUUCUUGUCUUCUCUAGGGGCCAGGGGGUCUCCUUAUAUAGUCCUCCUCCUCUAUGCAUUUUUGGCUCGGUAGGCGAUGUGGUACUACGUUAUCCUUGAUCCUUUAGGUCGGUGGAACAUCGUGUGCGAAGAGAGUCCCGAACGGAGUCCAGAGGUGGGCGGGCGCCCAGGUCCUCUGGGCGGGCGCCCUAGGCCUGGCCCCUUUCGGCCUCUGCUUUCUUCCCGUGGCUUUUGGAUAUCUCUAUGUAAUCCCGACAUGUGGGCCUUUCUUCCUUAUUUCCUGAUAACCCCCUACAGAAAUAGACAAACACCAAAACUCGUGGAAUUCUGUCAGAUAAAACCCUAAGUCUGGGUGUUGGUUGCAUUUGGAUCCUUUUCUUUAUUUAUUUGAUGAUUAUAUUUGAUACUUAAGGACCGUCAACACUUGGCAUAGUACUAGAAAUGCUUGUGUGACAUGAGAAGUGGCAAACGGUUUUAUCGCUAGCGGACGGUGGUCAAUGUAGCACUUCACAAGGAGUAUUCCAAGUAUCAUAUUUUCCACGGGGAAUGAGAAGCGGAAUAACUAGACCAAUUGUGUCGUCGGAUGAUGAUUAAAGGGCUUAGGAUUGGGUAGAGAGGUAUUUCUAGUAUUUGACUUCUGCCUAAGCUAUCCUAAGUAUAGUUGAGAGUUAACUCCCUUCCUACCAUGGCCAAUAUGUGAAAAAGGUAUGGCGAAACAAUUCCCUAGACAGCUACCAUGCAGGCAACUAUUAUUUGCAACUUGCCUAACAACACACUGAAGAGAACUCCUAAUGUCCAGCAGAGGCCUACCUUAGCUGGCGUUCUUCAGGUGCGACAAGAAGUCCACAAAGGCAGAAUUAGUCUAGACACCACGUCUACACUAAUUCUACUACUCUAGACCCAGCUAAGGUUUCGAGCACUUCACACAAGGCAAAGCAAUGUGCCAGAUAGGCCGGUUGUAUACUUAAAAUAAACUAAGACAGAAAGUGAAUACAGGAAGUACUCAGAUGAAAGGCAACUAGAAGGAAGACUUACUAGAAGACAAGCAUCCGCUGAGGCACUCCUGUAAUCAAUAUUGAUUAUUGUUAAUCCCUUCCCAGUGGUAAAAACAUAAAUAACGAUACCUGGAAUACUUCCCGGUUAAAAUGCUAUAUCGGUAUUAAUCUGUGCGCUUGCAUAUCCCAUUCAUUAUUUAUUUAGAAGAGCAAUUGCAUAUUUCAAUACCGCGUCUCUUAUAUCAUGCUUGGGAUGACAACUUCGCUUAAGUGGUGUGAGGGAUAGGUUUGGCAUUUUUGGCACCGUUACUAGAUUUAGAGAACUUAGUCUACUUUUGGUAAUGAUGUUAAGAAUACCCAACAGGAAGUAUUUCGCCACACCAUUUUCACCUGUCAGCCACAGUAGGAAGGGAGUUAUCUCACAAGUAUACUUAAGAUAGCUUAGCCAGACGCCAAAUACUAUAAAUACCUCUCUACCCAAUCCUAAGCCCUUUGAUCAUCAUCCGACGACUCAAUUAGUCUAGUUAUUCCACUUCCUAUUCCCCGUGGAAAAUAUGAUACCUGGAAUAUUCCUGGUGAAGUGCUACAUUGACCACCGUCCGCUUGCGGUAAAACCGUUCGCCACUUCUAGUGUCACACAAGCAUUUCUAGUGCUGUGCCAAGGACUGACAAUCCUAGGAUCUUGUUGACGAGAAAUAAGACCCAGUUCAAUAUACUCAAAGUUCUGUCAACAGUCCUCGAUUGAAGGAAGACAAGCAUCACAUGAACCUAUUUAUCACUAAUAAAGUUGCACUUGUACUCUUAGCUUGUUCACUGCAAGGAAGAAGGAGAUGAGCCCUGUGUGCGCCAUAACCUAGGUCGACCGACCAGGAUUUGGGCCCACCAGGGGCUCCCCUCCAUGGCAUGAGCCAUGGCAUCCUCCAAGGAGUCAAUCCCAACCCUUGGAUCCAAGUGUGCUUGCUCUCAACGGUUCAAACACCUAGCACAUGGAUCCUUGGGCCUACAUGAAAACAAGCAAGUGUGCAACUAGACUCAAUUUUGGACAACACUUCACAUGACAAGUGGGGACACCACCAGGAGGCCAAAGGUGGGCCAGGGGCCCCAAAGGUUGGUCGGCCGACCAACCAAUUGGGUGAUGCCACAUGGCCCAACCUCGCACCGACCUAGGGACCUUCUAGAAGGUCAGUGGGACCCACUGUCAUCCAAAUGGCAGGUCGGCCGACCGACAUGUGGGCCCCAACUUGAGUUGGUUCACUCCCACCAACAUCCCCAUGAUGAACAUAUGAUGGAAAUUCCCAACCAUUGAUCAUAUGGUGGUUCAAAGGUCGGUUUGAUCCAACGGUGCAUGCUGGAGGUCAUGCGGAUCGCUGACGUGGCUCCAGAGUAGCCUCUACUCCAUCACCCCCUAUAAAUACCACCUUAGAGAGCCUAGUUAAUCAUGAUGUAUCUUAGGAAGAGCUACUCAUAGCUAAGUGUGAGAAUGGAGGGAAGAGAGUGAGGAGUUCCCCGCGGAGGAGUCCCGGUUUGUUUGGAGUCUUCUUCCAGGAGUGCCUCAGCGGAUGCUUGUCUUUUAGUAAGUUUUCCUUCUAGUUGCCUUUUAUCUGAGUACUUCCAGUAUUUACUUUCUGUCUUAGUUUAUUUUAAGUAUACAAACGGCCUAUCUGGCACACUGCUUUGCCUUGUGUGAAGUGCUCGAAACUUUAGCUGGGUCUAGAGUAGUAGAAUUAGUGUAGACGUGGUUGGUCUGCCCUUGUGGACUUCUUGUCACACCUAGAGAACGCCAGCAGCGAAGCUUGAUAGGCCUCUGCUAGACAUUAGGAGUUUUCUUCAGUGUGUUGUGAGGCAAGUUGCAAAUAAUAGUUGGCCUACAUGGUAGCUACCUAGGGAAGUGUUUCGCCACACCCUUUUCACCUAUCGGCGAUAGUAGGAAGGGAGUUAACUCUCAAGUAUACUUAGGAUAGCUUAGACAAAAAUCAAAUACUAGAAAUACCUCUCUACCCAAUCCUAUGCCCUUUGAUCAUCAUCCGACGACUCAAUUGGUCUAGUUAUUCCACCUCUUGUUCCACGUGGAAAAUACGAUACUUGGAAUACUCCUGGUGAAGUGCUACAUUGACCACCGUCCGCUUGCAGUAGAACUGUUUGCCACUUCUCGUGUCACACAAGCAUUUCUAGUGCUAUGCCAAGGAUUGACAAUCCUAGGUAGUGACACUAAGAAGAGUCAACAAGCAUUUCUCGUGCCGUUGCCGGGGAACGGUAGCUGGUUUACUAGACUCAAAGUCAUCAAGUUAUCCUUGUUUGAUUAGAACCAUUACCUAUCCCAUGGAUCAAACAAGCCUCUUUGACUACGCUGCUCCAUCGGACGCUGAUCUCGAGCCACCUAGUUCUUCUCAAGCCAUUUUGGCCGUUCAUUACGAGCUUCACCCAAGUCUCAUAGCGAUGGUUCAGGAGAAUCCGUUUUCAGGAGAAGGAGAUGAAAAUCCCUAUACCCACCUACGUGAUUUCGAGCAGCUGUUGGCAGUCAUUAUAAACUAAUCAUAAACUGCCAACUUGGUCCAAAAGGAGAAGCAAUCAUAUUAUAUACACACAUGCAUUUUAUUACUAACAAGUUCCACUUGUACCAUAGUGAUUAUAUUUUGGAGGAAUUAUAGUGCAACAAGUGAAAAUGUGACAUACCACGAAGAAAGCGCAAAGUACCAAAAGACAUAUUCAGAAAUGCGCAAACCAAGAAAAUAGAGAAAGGCCCAAACAACGCGGAACUGGGCCUGAUCGUAACCACGAGAGAGAUCGAGGCCCAGAGCCAAACCGACCACGCGAAGGCGGUGGCCAGGGGGACCCACCCAGGGUGCGGCCGCACCCUCGUGAGGCUGCACCCCUGGAGGCGGCAAACCGGGCCCAUCUUUCUUAUGCAGUUGCAUGCCGCCAUGCAUAGGACGGUUUCACCUACUACCAAAUUUAGAUGCGAAGAACCAUCCUAGAUCCACUAUAAAAAGAGAGGCACUCCCCCCUUUUCAACACACACAUGAAUUUGGAGUCAAUUUACCUCACACCCCUCACUUGUAUCUUUAGUCUAGAUUAGUAGUAGAGCAAGACAAGAGCUAGCAAGUAGAGCUAGUCUCCUUGGAAGAAAGGAUCUUCUUGGUAUAUAUAAUAUUAAAUCUUAUUCCAUGAGCGAGUUCUAUUUAUCUUUAUAUGAUUAUGCAUAUGAACUAGAGUAUGGUUGUGUUCUUAUCAUGUUCAUAGUAUAUGAACUAGUUCUUAGUUCUUGUGCUAUGUUCUUGAUGUGUUCAUCAUUGUUCUUCAUUGUUCAUCAGAUUAGUAUGAUUAGGAUUAGAAUUAGGAAUGGGAUGAUGGUUCACUGUGCUGUCAUGGUUGCUCUUAGCCUAGCCUGUCACUCCGAAGUGGUCGGGCCCAUGGGGGUUAGGAGUUGUUUCCAAUUACGUGAACAUGGUGUUCAGCUAUGCGGGAAUCAAUGGAUGUGCGGGUAACUUUUGGGUAGAGGGGUAGGUGACAGGGUAGUGACAGCUCUGUCAUCCUUUGCAUUCCCCCAUGAUCAGGUAUUUAGAUAGGAGUUCUAUAAAGUCUCUAUCGGCUGGGUAUCCAGCUACGGGUGUCACAGAACCGACCAAAUUAUAAGAGUUCAAGUGCAGAAACGAUCGCCAAGCAAUCAAGUUUCCAAACUUGAGCCCAUAUAAUCCCAGUAGUCAAUUGAAAUCGUGAAGGACUUCAAACCAACUCGCAACAAACCAAGAUCGUAAUAGUUCAACAUAAACACAACGAAUGUUACAUAGUCAUACAUUGCCGUCGAAGCGGCACCACAUCGGAGUAUUAAGUUAUUACAACACUUAUUCGAAUUAGCGGAAGCAAAAUAGUUACACACACUUUCCAAAGUUCAGUUCAUAAGUUUGAGUUACUGCCAGAGUCUAUGCCAUCCUUCCAAAAGCAACAGGUACGAAGUUGUUAGAGAACCGUGCCCAACGGUUAGUCCUCAUCCCCAGCGGGAUGGAGACAGGUCUUGCAGAAGCCGUCAUAGAAGAUGUCAUCUGCAACAGGUGGGAAUAAACCCUGAGUACGAGAAUGUACUCAGCUAGACUUACCCGUCUAGUAAAACAUAAAAGACACCAAGGAUCAUGCAAGGCUAAAUAUCAAGUGGAGCUGGUUGACUCACCUUUUGCCAAAAGCUUAACUUACGACUAAGUUAUUUUGAGAGCAUCAUAUUUAUUUAUCAUCAGCCUACCACUAGAUUAGCACCUGUACUACAACACAUCACUUGAUUAUUACAAACAAUAAUAACCAUAUAAAAUUCAUCAUGUGUUCUUCUUGCUAUCAUCAUUAUCAUAAACCAAGUUCAUUAGUGACGGCUACGUUUGCCGCUGCUCUGUCAAGUUCUCACUAACCGGGAGAGACAGCGAUUCGAAUCGAAUUCAUAUCCAGCUGGAGGGUUAUUCCUAGCACUCACCCAAGCAUCCCCUGCCGGAGAGCCAACGGGUUACCUUUGGUACAACUCAGGAAUCGCGGCUCCAAUCAGCGCCGCACUCCCAGGGCUACCACUCUGCCAGGGAGGUUAGGAAUUUUAACUCACCUGCCUAUGGACUUACGCCAAUGGUCCCCCGCACACCGCACUUCCUCCGGUAGUGCGCACUUUAUACUUGCCGGUCUUCCGGCCUGAGUCAUACUACUCGGCUUCGCGGUCGGAACGAGUUAUCCGGCCAACUAAGUGUCAGGCAUGCGUUCAACAUGACAAGAGGACGUACAACGAUCGGUCCUUAGCUGCCACAGACAGAGUUACUACAAACUUGCAAAACUCCGCCCGGCUUAAGUCAAUUUAAUCAGGUUCCAUCCACGAUAGCACAUAUAGACCAUCGUGAUCCGACAUAACCCUAUAUCGCGCAGGUGACAGGAUAUCACCCGACUUCUACCGAUUAAAGCAUGGCUAAGCGGCUACUCGAUCCUAACUCUACAACCAGGGUGUGGUGAGUUAUCUGGACAAGGAUAGAGUAGAAUGCAGCAAAAGUUUCAUCACAACUCCUAUACGUAAUGCAUCAAUAGAUAUAACAUAUUAAGUAAACUUUCGAAAAUAAAGGGAGACUUAUAAUGCUCCGGGGCUUGCCUUUCACGAACGACGCCGGCUCGUGAUUCGGGCACUCAACUUCUUCUUCGGGCUCCUCGAGUCCGGCUUGCUGGACCUCCACCUCUUGGCUGCCCUCCUGACCUUCGCGAUUCGCCUGCAGCUCGUAGGAGGCUGUCGCGUCCGAUGCACCUAUUGCAUGCCCGAACAAUAAGAAGAUGCACAUGCUAAAGAUGAAUGCUUGAUAGCACAAGUAGCUCACUGGACACUCAAUUACGGAGCAAAAGUUAUAACAAGCUCACACAAGUUAAUAAGUUAGCUUGGCCCAAAACCUAUCAUGAUACUAAAUCAGCAAGCAACACAAAACAGGAGAGACUUGGUAAAUAAAUCAUAACUAAAGAUAGACAGGUCCAACAAACAUGAGUGAAGACAUUCUCGAAAGCUUAUGAAAUUGUCUACAAAUCAUCUUUAAACAUCCUAGCAAGAUUCCUACAUUAAACCAGUCAUUUAAACAAGGUUCCAUGUUCUGUUCCAGAAAAACAGAGAGCACCUAUUUCUGGAACCUAAAUUGGAACAGCCAUAACUUUUAAAUUACAGGACCAAAUCAUUCCAAAUUUAAACCACAGCUAGUUCAAUAAGUUUACUACAACUUUGAUUUAGACAAGUUGCCCAGAAAACCAAAUUAUCAUCAAGCAAAAGUUAAAUUGCUCCCUUGCUGUCCAGAACAGCCUUUAACCCUAUAAUUAAUUAUUUAAUGACAUGACCAAAACACAAACCGUGCCAACCACAUGGCUUAUGAGCACAAGCACAUUACAAGGUUGCCAGAACAUCAGAUGACAACCCUCAACAUUUACUUAACAAGGCAUUUAUUAAUUAAUUCUAGAUAAGAGCAUAAUUAUAAGAUACCAGUCAAAGUGCUCAGAAAAAUCUACAAAAAUUACAGAAGCACAAGUAUAGCAUCAGGGCAUCACCAUAAAAAUUUCAGAGCAAUUGCACAUACUAAAUUAAAGAUAUGUAUUUAACAUGUGCCAAGGCUCUUAUUUCAUAAAUUCAGAAACAUGACUUAUAUGGUACCAAACAACAGAUUUCAGAUUACUUAUAUAUGAGAAAUACCAUGAACAUGUUUACUACCAAAGUAGAGCACCAGCAUAAGCACCAAUUAUUUUAUAUGAUUUAAUUAAAGAAACAAGCCACACUUCAAUCAUAAAUUGCAUAUCAAAGCUGCAGCACACCAAAAAUCAUGAAAUAUUUACCGAAGCACUCCAAUACCAUACAGAGACUACCAUAAAAUUUUCAGAGUAAACUAAGCUCACAAGAGAUAUGCAUUUAUCCUAGAAUAACAAGAUUAAAUCCUUAAUAAAUAUUUUCCCAGAAAACAUGGUUCAUUUUAUAUUUUUAUUAAAAACUAGCCAUCUCAAGGAAUACCACAAAAUUUGUUUCACAAUUUUUGGAUCUCAGAAACAGGAGAUAUGAUUUUUGCAAGAAAGCCAAAAAUCCAGAUUUUGAAUAAAAGAAAAGGAGGGAAGGAGGUGACACUGACAGUGGACCCCAUCUGUCAGGUCCUUCUUCCUCACGGCCGAGGCGACUUUUGCCGGCGAUUUCUCCGCGACGGCGAGGUCUCCGGCCAAACCAAGGGCAUCAGCGUGAUUUCUCCGCGACGGCUCGGCGGAGGUGCUCGGCGUUACGCCGGAGCCCUCAGGCCGGUAGAGCGCAACCUAAGGCCUUCUACAGCACCAGCGGACUACGGAGAAGCUUCCUAGGUACACAGCUUGGCCUGGAUCCUCGUGGAACACGCUGGCCACGAGAGCACCCAUCUCCGGCGGAAACACGGCGGCGCUGCGCACCGUGUCCGGCGACGGAGAGCAUGGUAGAGCGUCCGCCAAGUGGCGCAAAAGCUCGCUACGGACCUAAGCUACCUCUAGGACCUAACCAGAGAUGACGAGAGGCUUCACAGGGCUCGGCAUUGAGUUCGCCGGAGAAGAAGGUCACGGCGACCCGAGUUGGGGGAAGAAGGAAAUGUCGGCUCACCGGUGGAUUUCUCGGCGAGUUAGAUGGUGGAGAUUGGAGAGCGGUUCACGGCGGAGCUUUGGGUGAAGUUUGGUGGGCAAUGGCGCAGCAGGGAACGCGCGCGAGCUCGCCGGAGUAAGCUCGCGGAGGAGAGCUCCCGGCGGCUGCGUUUCUGGCGAGCAGGGCGAGGGAGAGCGAAGUGGACGCGUCCACUCUGCGCGGGCGACGCCGUGGAGGUCAUGCACGCGACGGGAGCUGACAGGCGAGGCCAGAAAUGGCGUACGGACGACAAAUGUCGCCGUUGUGCUGCCGCCGGUCGGCCACGUCGGCGAGCUUCAAACCGAUUCAGACAAAACAAUGGCCGACUGAUAGAGCUACUUUGGCAACGAUUUACUCCCAAACCAGUGCGAAUUAGAGGACGGUGCAGUUGACAAAGUUGGAGUUCCAACUGAGUUCUAAAACAUUGUCAAUUGGAGCAAAAGCCAAUUCGACCUGGAUUGAAAGAUAUAGAGUUUUCAAAAUUGAUCAAGCAAACUGGUUUCGUUCCAGGACUUAGAAAAUUUUCUAAGUGUUGGAAACAGCCCCAAAUCUGCCUUGUGGGUCUCUUUUGAGCUAUUUGUGGUCAUUUUCAUGCGAUGGCCAUAAAACAACUUUUGUUCCAUAUAAAAUUUUCUACAACUUUUCUGUAGAAAGUUUUGACAUGCAAACAUUUUAUGAAACACUUUUUAAAAGCCUAAGCAAAAGAGGUUUCUAGGGCCUAUUUUCAUAAGUGUGACUUAAAGGCAUAUUUUGGAGAAGUGACCAACAUGAACAUUGUUCCCAAAGUCAAGUUAAACAUAGAUAAACUAAUUACCAAGGCAUUGAGCACAAACACAAGCAUGGUUCACUCAAUUAUAAGCAUAGGAAGCCUAUUUAAGCAAGUUAAAACACAUUUUUGCAUAGAAUGACAUGGCUCCAGGUAUAUGAUGAUCAUGAUAUGCUUUGAGUAGAUGAUGAUGCUUAUGCUAUGCACAUGAUCAAUGCAACCAUAACACUGGGGUGUUACAGCCCUCCCCCCUUACAAAAAUCUCAUCCCGAGAUUUGAAAGCUUACUGAUUUUCGAAGAAUGUUUUGUAAACUUCUUUUAAAUAAUCCUCCGUCUCCCAAGUGGCAUCUUCUUCCCCAUGGUUGCUCCACAAUACCUUGUAGAGCUUAACCACACGAUUACGCGUCUCCCGUUCCUUGCGAUCAAGAAUCGCCACGGGUUUCUCCUCAUACACCAAGUCUGACUUCAACUUGAUAUCUCGAACUUCCACUCGUUCCUCCGGUACACGAAGGCACUUCUUCAAUUGUGAUACGUGGAAGACAGGGAAAAUAGCUCGAAGCGCAACUGGGAGUUGAACUUUGUAUGCCACAUUCCCUUUCUUUUCGAGAAUCCAAUAAGGUCCCACAUAGCGAGGUGCAAGCUUUCGCUUGACUCCGAACCUUUGUACACCCUUCAUCGGAGACACCUUGAUGUACACAUGGUCACCAACUGAAAACUCAAUCGCCUUCCUUCUCUUGUCGGCACAACUUUUCUGACGAGCUUGAGCAGCUUCCAGAUGUUGCUGGAUAGUACGGACUUUCUGCUUGGCUUCGUUCACGAAAUCGAUGCCAUAAUACCUUCGCUCUCCGGCUUCCACCCAGUUCAACGGGGUUCGACACUUUCGACCAUACAAGGCUUCAAAUGGAGCCAUCUUGAUACUCUCCUGAUAACUAUUGUUGUAGGAGAACUCAGCUAAUGGCAACCACUUAACCCAAGAACCUUUUGAAGAGAGAGCGCAUGCCCUCAACAUGUCUUCGAGGAUUUGGUUGACCCUUUCAGUUUGACCAGCUGUUUGGGGAUGAUAAGCAGAGCUGCGGACUAAAUGAGUACCAAUUUGCUCAUGCAGACAUUCCCAAAAACGAGCAGUGAACUGUGGUCCGCGAUCGGAUAUGAUUGUUCGAGGCACACCAUACAGACGAACAAUGUGCUCGAAAUACAACUCCGCAUACUGAUGUGGACGAUAGUCAGUUAGGACUGGAAUAAAUCGAGCAACUUGGUCAAACGAUCUACAAUCACCCAAAUGGAGUCGUACCCCUUAACAGAAGUUGGGAGUCCACUGAUGAAAUCUGUUGACACUAGCUAACACCACUUAGAUACUAGGUUGUCAUCCCUAGCAUGGCGCCAGAGUGUACAAAGGUAUUUAUAAAUGUAAAGGCUCUCUAGAAAAUAAUCUAUUCUAUCCGCAAGCGCACAGAUAAAACACCUCAUUGUAGCAUUUCACCAGGAUAAGUAUUCCAGGUAUCGUUAUUUAUAAUUUUGCUCUAGGGAUCUCAAGAAGAUGGAAUUAAAUCAAGGGACAAAAUCUAUCAAGGCAUAGACUAGAGAUAAACUUGCAAGAACAUGAUUACUAAUGAGAAACUCGUCACACAGUCACUUACUUUAGCAGGGGGUAAACCAUAAAGAUAAUGAUAAUAAAGUAUAAGUUCAUGGGUAGAUAACACAGCGAUUAGAAAAUAGACUACUCCUCAUAUAUGUAGGUGAUGUCGGAUUAGCUAGAGAAUGGAUUCUAAGUUAUCUACUAACUACUAAGUCAUAAUCUACUCUAGUUAUCUACAAGAUCAUGUAUAGCAUAAAAGACUCUUCAUUCAUGUAUAAGGAACAUUGAUAAAGUAAAUCAGAACAUCGCAUGACUUACUCCACAAUACCGGUUCUGCCUGUCCUAUCAACGGAGGGUGGACUAUAUAAGAAUCAACGAAGCUGUCACUAUCGCGAACUACCACACGACUCAGCCAAUAGGAUACAUUUGCAGAUAAAUAACAUCUAAGCACCACGCUCACAUGUGAUCUAUCACCUAACUCCCUCGCGUCAAGAGCUAAGCGCUUUGCAAACUUAUACAUAAACUCAUUAUCAAUUAGAACUAUAUCAAAUAUAGAACUAGAGCAAACUAAGAACAUAAUAAUUAGAGACAUAAUGCAAUUAGAACAAUAGAAUUAGAGAAAGAUAUGAAUAAUACCAAUCUUUAUUACCGAAGAUCCGAAUCCAUAGCGUAGUGCUCUACUUCUCUAAUUGCUAUCUAAUCAACCUCUAAACUUGAAGGAUUAGGGAGUAGCUAAUUCUAAUUCUCUGCGAGAGAGAGAGAUCUAAACCCUAACUUUGAUGGCUACCUCUGAAUAAUGAUUUCUCCUCUCCUCCUCCAGGGGCCAGGGGGUCUGGUUUUAUAGUCCCCUCAAGUGAACGUGAGCCAUUGGAUCAAACCGACAUAGAUUGUAUGGUUUAGAUUGAUCCUUUAGGUCGGUGGAGAGUUGUCCCGAGAGAGUCCUGAUCCAACUCCUGGCCAGGGCAGACGCCCAAGGGGGGUGGGCGGCCGCCCAGCUCCCGAGCCCGAUUCGCGUCCCGUUCGUUCCUGUGGCUUCUGGAUCCUUCUAGAUUGAGGAAAAUUGCGCGGCACGUAAUUAUCUCGUUGUAAACAUGACAUGUGGGCCUUCUCUCCCUAUUUUCUGAUAAACCCCUGCAAAAAUAGAUAAACACCAAAGCUCGUGGAAUUCUAUCAGAUAAAACCCUAAUUCUAGAUGUUUGUUUCAUAUUGAUCCUUUUUCAUGUUUAUUUGAUUAUUAAUUUUAGUACUUAAGGACCGUCAACAAACUCCCCCAAUCUUACCCUUUGCUCGUCCCUGAGCAAAUAGCUAAACUUAGACGGAUCAGGAGUUGCUUCGAUGUUUUCUUUCCUGACAGGCACACAUGCUUUUACAUAAAAAUUCUUCCAGAUUAGAGUGAAGUGUUAUGGAGUUUAGUACCUGCACUUAAAUCUUAAGUAAUCAAAAGACAAAAUAGUUAAGUCAAGCACUAUCCCUCUUGUCUAUACUUCACCUUUGUUCUAGAUUUUUUCAUAAGUUUUCAAAAUAAAACUCAGAGUUCCCAGCAAUGAUCUCUCAAGUCUCUCUAUAUGUGGUAUUUGUGGAUCCUUACCAUAAUGUCACUUACCUAUAGCUAAUAGAAUAUUUAACUGGAGCUCAUAGGAGUGGAAAACAGCUCAUACAUAUGUUGUCUAAUCGAGCCAUGGAUCCAAAGGAACUCAGCAUAUAAUUAAAUCAAGAUGUGCAUGUGUGGUAGAGUAAAUGAUAGUGAUGGUGAAAAUGCAAUAGUGAUAAUAAUAAAAUUUAGUUCUCAUUGCUCCUUAUAUUGCUAUUUCUCCUCUUAUUUGAUCUUUGCUUUGGGAGAACUUGGGCUAUCUUUUUCUCUUUUCUUUUUUUUUUCAGGUGGGUAGUAGAUACCCCUAAUUCUACUGUCGGACACUUGUCCAUUUUUUCCGCUCAAGUGGGCAUCUUUGUACCCCUAAUUCUACUUCGGACACUUGUCCAUUUUUACCUCUCACUCUUUUUCUUUCUUUUUCGAUGUUCCCAGGCACUUGCCCCUUUUUAUUUCCUCGUAUAUAUUUUUGCAUAACCCAUGCCUCUUCUGCAUUGAAUCUUUUUAGAGAGAGAGAAUAACAAUAUUCGGGACAGUGAGUGAUAAUAUUUUUAGCAAUUUUAAUGAUUGAUGAUAAAUGCUGUGGUAGAUGUGUGCAAGUGAAUAUCUUAAUUUAACCACAUGAAAAGCUCCUAAGGGUCUACACAGCUCGAUCAAACUCAAUGUGAAUAUAGUAAAAGAUGUUAUAGCAAGUAUGGCUGUGGUAGGUAGUUUUGUAUACUAGGAACUCAUCAUGUGAUUUGUAAGUUUUCAAAAAUAAAUCUCUAGAACUUGGUGUAGUAGGAACAAGAUAAACAGUAGCUCAACUUUAUAUCAUGCCUUUCUCUUACCUAGACUUUAGUUUUAUGCUUCCCCAAAGAUAGAAAUUUUAGUUUUAGUAAUUCCUGGAAGAAUUCUAAUAUAAAAGCUAGGUACUUGAAAGUAAGCAAACAGAGCAACUAUUCAUCAUUUCCAUCAUGUAUAUUUUUGGUCUUUUAUUUAUUUAUUUAUUUUUUUCUAGAGAUUAAACUUAGUAGAAAAAUAAAACACACUUAUCUACACACUCUUUUUAUUUUGUUUUCAUCUUUAUAAAGUGCAGUAAAUUAAAGCAAGAAAAUAUUUAUUUGGUUUUCUAAGUUUUUCCUUUAAGAUAAAUUAAAUACAAGAAUAGAAAAGAAUAAAUAAGAAGAGCAAAUAGAAACUUACUUGAUAAAUUUAGGGAGGAACUCCCCCAAGCUGGAUGUUGACGUCGGUCUUACCCGAUGUUCCAGAACCGCAUCAUGGUUGUGAUGUUAUCGUUCAUUGUUGUAGUAUCUUGUCUCUGCUCUUGUACCGCAGCGGCAUGGUCCUGGUUCCAUUUUUGUUGCUCUUCCAGGAGUCUUCCAUCUUCUGCUUGCGUGUUCUGGAUGUCGAGGAGGGUGUUGUCGGUAUGAGUGAAGAAAGCACCGGCCUCUUGAUAGUAGUCAUUCGUGAAGGCGUAGGAGGCGUCGGAGUAUCGUCCUGCAUCAAAUUGGGGCGGAGGUCUGGACCCUGAAGCUCCAUAUGGAUCAGUGAAGUACCUGCCCGUAUGAAAAGGCGGGUUUGUCCACUAGUGAUCUUGGCUCUCCGGCCAUGUCUCCUCUGUUGGCUCUUGUGGUUGCGCAUGCCGAGCCCAUGGGUCUCGAAGGACUCGUGGAUUGUAAUCGCAAUAAUGCAGGUGCGCUGCUUCUUUUGGUCCAGGGUCAGCUCCAUACCAAGUGCGUUCUCGGUGAGUGGUUAUCCUUUCAGAUGCCACUCGCUGUGGAGUUCUCUGGUUCACUGUUUCUCGUAGUAGGAUUGGAUCGAUAGUAGGGGUGUGAAUGAAAUCUUCGUUCUUCAGUUGCUGAUAGACUUCCUUCUCUCUUCGGGUCUUCAGUCCAAGGUCUCCUAUCUUGAGAAGGACCUUGACUUGCUGGCCUGAUGAAGAUGAUGGAGCUUGUGUGGGUGUCGGGUCGACGUUCAUCUCUGAUGGCUGUGAGGAGUGUCGGGAUGAACUCCUUGUUCCAAUGUUCUUGAGAGCCUUCCCUACAUUCUUCACCUUCUUAAACAUCCUGCAAACAAAAGUUGGCAAAAACACAACUGGUGGAAAAUGUGAGAAUAAAUGUUAGUGGUCAGUUGUCCGGAGUGUCAGUAGUCCGGGGGUUAAUCGUUCAAUACAAGUUUCUAUUUUAGUAGAGCUUCCCCCUAAACAACUUUUACUUCCGCUUAGACAGCGGGAUCACUAUUUGCUAGGUGACAAUCACUUUCUCAAAAGAACUCCAACCUUCCUUUCCACUCUCCUCUUUCUCUCUACUCUCUUCUCUUCACUACAAGAACUCAUUCUCGGGAAACUGAGAUUUGUGUGGUUUUCUGAAGUGUUUGUGUGAAGAGAAGGGAGCUGGAGGUGGCCUUUUAUAGGCUAAGCAGGGGACAGGGCGGGCGCCCAAGGUAGGUGGGCGGGCGCCCACCUGUGGUGUCCAUCCUGGGUGUGCCUCCUCCACUUGCUUCCUUGCUUUGAUCUCACGCAGAAUAAUGUUGUGUUGGUGGUGGUUGGACGGUGGAAAGAUGUCAGGUGAGUGGAAACAUAUUGGUGGAUGAAAUUAUGUGAUGGGAUAUAUGUGAGGUGAAGUGUAUGACAUGUGGGACCCAAAGAGUGUGGGUCAUGCUUCUAGAGUAUCAAUAUAAAUAAAUAUAAUGCAGGAAAAUCUAUGAGAAUUAACACUUAAUGAAAAUGAUAAUGGAAAAUAUUUUUUUGUGCCUCCACAAUAAUUAAUAAAUAUGGGUUGUUACACACCACAAAUAUUAUUUAUAUGGGGCUUUUUGAUUAUUAUAAUUAUGCUAUGACUAAUGCAAGAAUUAAUUAUGCAAGAAGUUAAAUAUGAGAAAAUUAAUAAUGCGGAUAAAUACCGAUUUACCUCCCGGUGAGGGUUUGGGAUUUUUAGGUCCCCCAAGCUGUGCCUCCAAAUCUUUUAAUCUUCUGAGUUUCCUUCCUCUGGAGAUGGUGUCUCCAGUGGUUCUUCAUGAACUUCCUUCACUGUAGAGUCUCUCUCUAGUCUGGGUUUGAAUGUGAAGUGUUCUUCUUGACCGUUUAUGUUGAACUUGAUUUCUCCCUUCCCGACAUCAAUGUGGGCAUUGGCAGUGCUCAGACGUGGCCUUCCAAGGAUGAUGGACACUUUUGAGUCAAGACUCAUGUCCAGUACUACGAAGUCUACUGGCACCAGGAAAUCUCUGAUCUUGACUGGAAUGUUCUCGGUGAUGCCCAGCGGGUGUCGAACCGAUUGAUCCGCUAGUUGUAGGCACAUUGAUGUUGGUUCUAAGGUUGCAUGAUCAAGCUUUUUGUAGACUGAUGCUGGCAUCACACUGACACUUGCUCCGAGAUCACAAAGUGCAUUGUUGAAGUGUUGGUUUCCGAUCGAGCAAUCAAUAGUGGGACAUCCUGGGUCUUCCUUCUUCUUUGGUGGCUUAUUGAGGAUGGCCGCACUACAUUCUUCUGUCAGCUUGAUAACCUCAGUGGUGGGCAGUGGUCUCUUCUUGUUAAGAAUAUCUCUGAUGUACUUUGCAUAUGUAGGUACCUGUAUGGCAUCUAGCAGAGGUAUGUUGACAUAUAAUUUCUGAAUGACCUCUACAAACUUACCAAACUGCUCAUCCGACUGCAGUCCUCUGUUUCUUCUGGGAAAUGGCAAAUAGUUGGUGUCGUAAAAUUCUUUCCUUAUUUCUCUAGUUCUUGGUGGUUGGAGCAGAUCUUCUGCUUCAACUGGGCUUUCUUCUUCUAUCACUGCUGGUUGCACUGGUGCUGAUGUUCUUUGUUUCUCUUUUGGGUAUGGUGGAUCUCUGGUGGCUUUGCCUCCUCUAGUAGUUAUAUUCUUUACCUGCUCAAGGUUAGUAGCAAUAGGCAGUGCAGCAGCUAUCUUUAUUAAUUUAAGCUCUACCUUUUUAUUAAGAGUGUUUUGCUCAUCAAAGGCAGUUAGUAAAAAAUCCAUUUUAUUGUGUAUAUCUUUUAGAGAUGAUUCAUUUGUAUCUAGCCUUUGUUUCACUUCAUCAUUAAUUUUGGUUUGUUGAGCAAUUAUCUCUUUUAAUGAAAGUUGCUUGAAAGUAUUACCUGCAUUCAUACCUUUGCUAUUGGGUUGACUUGAAGUUGGUUGAUAUUUGUAUGCUGUCUCAAUGGCCCUUUGAUCUUCUUUGAACUUGGCCCUCUGGUCAAUCCAAUGGAGCAAAUUUUCCAUCUUAGCUGAUAAUGCAUUUACUUCUUCUGGUAUUUCUUCAGUUUGAUGACAAUGUUGAGCUUUAUCUUGGAACCAGCUUUGGUUUUCUGCUAUCUUAUCCAAAAGUAUCUCUGCUUUUCCAGUUGUAAGCUCCAAGAAUGAUCCUUUAGCAGAUGCAUCUAGGCACUCACGAGCCAUCUGGGUUAAUCCAUGGUAGAAGGUCUGCAUAAGUAACCAUGUGGCCAUUCCAUGGUGAGGACAAUCUGAUAUGUAUCCUUGAAAACGCUCCCAUGCUUCUAAAAUGGCUUCUAUCUUCUGCUGUUGGAAACUGACAAUAUUUCCUCUUAAGGCAGUUGUUUUGCCUAUAGGGAAAAACUUUGAUAGAAAGACAUCUGACAAGUUCGUCCAGUUGUUGAUGUUAUCUUGAUGAGUGUAGAACCACUUCCUCGCUUUUCCUUCUAGUGAGAAUGGAAAAAGGCGAAGCAGUAUGACGUCUUUGUCAACUCCGUUGAUGUGGAUUGUGCUUCCAAUCUCUAAGAAAUUCUGCAAGUGUGCACUGGCAUCUUCAUGUGCCUUUCCACUGAAUUGUGUAGCUUGUACCAAAUUGAUGAGGCUUGACUUGAGCUCAAACUCAGGUAUUCCUUCUUCUACUACAAAUCUUGGACCAGUUGGAAUGUUGUCAAGACUUGGAGCAGAGAAUUCUUGCAAGGUCUUUUGUGCCAUAGCUUCAGCAAUUGGUAGCUAGCUUCUUCUUCUCUUGAUUGCUUUGGUUCUGAUGAUGAAGAGUUGAAUGUACCCAAAGUCAAUCCUGUUAUACCCUAUAUAAAAAUAUAAACAUAGAAAAACAACAGGGUGAACCUGCCAAAGCAGAGGUGCCUUGUUAUGAUUUCUCACUUAGUAGCUGUUUUAUGCAAUUAUUUCUCUAUAGUCUAGUCUAAUGUUUUAUAUGAAUAACCGUGAUUGAUUUUCUGGCUUUCCUUAAUAUUACCCUUUUGUUCCCUUUAAUGACUUAAUCCUGAGACUCAUAUAAUUCCUAUAAUUCCUAUAAGUAUCCCCGACAACGGCGCCAGAAAUGCUUGUUGACACUAGCUAACACCACUUAGAUACUAGGUUGUCAUCCCUAGCAUGGCGCCAGAGUGUACAAAGGUAUUUAUAAAUGUAAAGGCUCUCUAGAAAAUAAUCUAUUCUAUCCGCAAGCACACAGAUAAAACACCUCAUUGUAGCAUUUCACCAGGAUAAGUAUUCCAGGUAUCGUUAUUUAUAAUUUUGCUCUAGGGAUCUCAAGAAGAUGGAAUUAAAUCAAAGGACAAAAUCUAUCAAGGCAUAGACUAGAGAUAAACUUGCAAGAACAUGAUUACUAAUUAGAAACUCAUCACACAGUCACUUACUUUAGCAGGGGGUAAACCAUAAAGAUAAUGAUAAUAAAGUAUAAGUUCAUGGGUAGAUAACACAGCGAUUAGAAAAUAGACUACUCCUCAUAUAUGUAGGUGAUGUCGGAUUAGUUAGAGAAUGGAUUCUAAGUUAUCUACUAACUACUAAGUCAUAAUAUACUCUAGUUAUCUACAAGAUCAUGUAUAGCAUAAAAGACUCUUCAUUCAUGUAUAAGGAACAUUGAUAAAGUAAAUCAGAACAUCGCAUGACUUACUCCACAAUACCGGUUCUGCCUGUCCUAUCAACGGAGGGUGGACUAUAUAAGAAUCAACGAAGCUGUCACUAUCGCAAACUACCACACGACUCGGCCAAUAGGAUACAUUUGCAGAUAAAUAACAUCUAAGCACCACGCUCACAUGUGAUCUAUCACCUAACUCCCUCGCGUCAAGAGCUAAGCGCUUUGCAAACUUAUACAUAAACUCAUUAUCAAUUAGAACUAUAUCAAAUAUAGAACUAGAGCAAACUAAGAACAUAAUAAUUAGAGACAUAAUGCAAUUAGAACAAUAGAAUUAGAGAAAGAUAUGAAUAAUACCAAUCUUUAUUACCGAAGAUCCGAAUUCAGAGCGUAGUGCUCUACUUCUCUAAUUGCUAUCUAAUCAACCUCUAAACUUGAAGGAUUAGGGAGUAGCUAAUUCUAAUUCUCUGCGGGAGAGAGAUCUAAACCCUAACUUUGAUGGCUACCUUUGAAUAAUGAUUUCUCCUCUCCUCCUCCAGGGGCCAGGGGAUCUGGUUUUAUAGUCCCCUCAAGUGAACGUGAGCCAUUGGAUCAAACCGACAUAGAUUGUAUGAUUUAGAUUGAUCCUUUAGGUCGGUGGAGAGUUGUCCCGAGAGAGAGUCCUGAUCCAACUCCUGGCCAGGGCGGGCGCCCAAGGGGGGUGGGCGGCCGCCCAGCUCCCGAGCCCGAUUCGCGUCCCGUUCGUUCCUGUGGCUUCUGGAUCCUUCUAGAUUGAGGAAAAUUGUGUGGCACGUAAUUAUCUCGUUGUAAACAUGACAUGUGGGCCUUCUCUCCCUAUUUUCUGAUAAACCCCUGCAGAAAUAGAUAAACACCAAAGCUCGUGGAAUUCUGUCAGAUAAAACCCUAAUUCUAGAUGUUUGUUUCAUAUUGAUCCUUUUUCAUGUUUAUUUGAUUAUUAAUUUUAGUACUUAAGGACCGUCAACAAAAUCCAUGCUGACUUCUUCCCAUUUCCAACCAGGAAUUGACAAGGGUUGAAGCAAACCAGCUUUCAUGUGAACAGCUUUCACACGACAACAAUUGUCACAACGAGCGACAAAAGCAGCUAUCUCCUUUUUCAUCUUUGUCCACCAAAACAACGGUUUUAAAUCCUGAUACAUCUUGCUACUACUAGGAUGAAUAGACAAUUUGGAUGAAUGAGCCUCAGAUAAGAUCUGAUUUUGCAGCUCACGGUCUUUUGGGACCACAAGUCGAUCCUUGAACCAAAGGAUUCCGUUCUCAUCGACCCGGAAAUGCUUGGUUUCUUCUUCCUUCAUUUUCCUCUUUAUAUGGUGGAUGCCUACAUCUGUCUGCUGCAAUUCGAUGACUCGAUUGCGAAUGGUACUUUCCAGAGAAAUCUGGUUGAGCACAAGUGGAUGCAUAAGAUGUGAUAACAACGGAUCUUCCACUUGGAUUGAGUGACAGUGCGCUUUCCGACUCAAGGCAUCCGCCACCACGUUUGCCUUGCCCGGAUGAUAGUGCACUUGGAGAUUAUAAUCUUUAAUCAACUCAAGCCACCUUCGCUGUCGCAUGUUCAGUUCAGGUUGAGUGAAGAUAUACUUGAGGCUCUUGUGAUCGGUAUAGAUAUUACACAGAUUACCCGGCAAAUAAUGCCUCCAGAUUUUUAAAGCAUGAACAACUGCUGCCAAUUCUAAGUCAUGAGUAGGGUAAUUGACCUCAUGCUUUCGAAUUUGGCGUGAGGCAUACGCAAUUACGCGACCUUCCUGCAUCAACACACAGCCUAAACCAAUGCCCGACGCGUCACAAAAGACAUCAAAGGGCCUUUCGAUAUCAGGUUGAGCUUGGACAGGAGCUGAUGUCAGCAAUGUCCUCAACUUGUGGAAUGCGUCUUCACACUCAGGUUUCCACACAAACUUCUCAUCCUUCUAAAGUAGGCGAGUCAUAGGCUUGGAUAUUUUGGAGAAUUCCGGAAUGAAUCGACGGUAAUAUCCUGCCAUCGUGUAUCGAAGUUGGAACUUUCCAAUCUAGCACUUCUUGCACCUUAGCAAGAUCCACCGAUAUGCCUUCUUCAGAUAAGAUAUGGCCCAAGAAAGGUACUUUCUUUAGCCAAAACUCGCAUUUGCUAAACUUGGCAUAAAGCUGAUGUUCGCGCAAACGCGACAACACUACACGCAGAUGCUCUGCAUGCUCCUCUUCAUUGCGAGAAUAUACCAAGAUAUCAUCAAUGAAGACCACCACAAACUUGUCCAAUUCGGGCAUGAACACCGAAUUCAUGAGAUACAUGAAAUGAGCAGGUGCAUUCGUAAGGCCGAAAGACAUGACAAGGUACUCAUACAGCCCAUACCUCGUCGAGAAAGCUGUCUUAGGUACAUCUUCAGGACGGAUCUUGAUCUGAUGGUACCCAGAUCGCAAAUCAAUCUUGGAGAAUACCUUAGCUUUAGACAACUGAUCAAACAAAAUAUCAAUGCGAGGAAGAGGGUAUUUGUUCUUGAUAGUCACCGCAUUUAGGGGACGAUAGUCCACACACAUGCGCAACGAUUGAUCCUUCUUCUUCACAAAGAUAGCCGGACAACCCCAAGGAGAAGAACUAGGACGAAUAAGACCCUUCUUCAAUAACUCAUUUAGUUGGGUCUUAAGCUCAGCUAAUUCAUUGGGUGGCAUUCUAUAAGGUCUUCUAGAGAUAGGAGCGGUACCUGGAAUCAAUUCAAUUUUGAACUCCACAUCCCGAUCUGGAGGAAGCCCGGGCAAAUCAUCAGGAAAUACAUCCAGAAACUCACACACCACUGGAAUAUCCUGAAUAGCCUUAGAUGUAACUGCAUUCACAGUGCUACGGAUAUGAAUAUCACGGGGAAGCUGCACUAGAAAUGCCUCCUUGGAAUUUGGGUCUUUCAACAUCACUACACGAGUGGUGGUGUCGAUAAGAACUCCAUUGCCACUCAUCCACUUCAUCCCCAGAAUUACAUCUAUGCCCACACCGGGUAGAACAACCAAAUCAGCAAGAAACUGACGGCCUCCUAUAUCCAGAGUUGCCCCCAAAACCACUUGAUUUGUGGAAAUAUCAUUCCCCGCAGCACUAAUACAAUAACUGCCCUUAUCAAGUGUAAUGGCCUUGAUGCUAUGCUUAGACACAAAUUCAGAACUCACAAAGGAAUGCGAUGCUCCAGAAUCAAAAAGCACGAGUGCACCAUGUUGAUUAACCAGAAACUUACCAGCCGUGACUACCUCACCAGCAGGGAUUGCUUCCAUAGUUGUGUAGUGAACACGCCCCUGACGGACGUUCCCUUGGUUGCCCUUCUUUGGCGGGUAAGGACAGUUGCUCUGCCAAUGCCCGGUCUGAUUGCAGUUCCAGCAUGGACGGUUGGCAGGUGGAGUCUUGGCAUAGUUGGGACCCGUGUUGCCCCUAGGAAGAGCAAUAGAGCACCCCUUGCGAAAACCCGUCUUGGCCUGAUUCUUCUUCAUCGGAGGGCGGUACCGCUGGUUAGACGUUGGGGCACAGAACGGUGGCUUAGCUGCCACUGGAGCCUUGGACUGAGAUGACCCGACCCCGGCCUCAAAGGCCCUCUUACGAGUCUUGGUCGCAGUGUACACAGUGUUAUAGUUCUCUUGAGUGAGAGCAUCACUGACAAACUCAUUGAAAGUUGCACACUUACUACGGCCCAUAGUCUUCAGCAAUUUGGGGCCCAAACCCCGCUUGAAGCUAGCAAUCUUUUUCGUCUCCGUGUUCACGAACUCAGGAGCAUACCUAGACAAAUGAUUGAAAGCAUGCAAAUACUCCUUCAGAGUCUUGUUGCCCUGAGUCAACUACAUAAACUCAGUAUGCUUCAUCUCAAUGACACCAGGAGGAAUGAAAUGCCCCUUGAAAGCUUCACGGAAAAGAUUCCAGUCAACCACUGUGUUGGCUGGAAGAGCUUCCCGAUACUGAUUCCACCAGAUGCCUGCCGGUCCUUGCAGUUGGUGAGCUGCAUAUUCUGCCUUCAAACCUUCAGUCAAACGAAGCAAGCAGAACUUUUGUUCCACCGUGUUUAGCCAUUCUUCAGCUUGAAGGGGUUCUUCAGCUUCUCUGAAAGGUGGGGGCUUGGUAUCCAUGAAGUCCUUGAAGCUACUGUACUGGUUAGGAGCUGGCCCUUCUUGUGCAUUACGACCACCCUGAUUUGCCAUCCGAUUGAUGGUCUCAGUGAGCAUCCUCUGAUUUUCCACCAUCAUUUGCAUCAGCUCAGCUGGAUUUGGUGGUGGGGGAGGAGGAGGUGGAUUCAUGUUUGCACGCUGUUCCGCAUCUCGGGUGCCACGAGACAUCUGUAAAGACACAGUCAGUGAGCAUUGAUGAUGACAAGAUUUGCUGCAGAAGAACUUAUAUUCAUGCCUGAAAGUAUUCGAGAGAAUAGCUUUACAGAAAGGCACAACAAUUCAAUUCCACAAAACAACAUCACCAAUCCAACACAUGACAUAGAUAUCCGCAAUACGCACCAUAACGGAAAACAUCGGCAUAACAUAACGAUCAUAUUAAGACUGCACAUCGGGUCCAUAAAGUUAUUACACCAACACAGUACAUGCCAUGAGUCAAGGUCGAAGUUCCGGAUUACAACAUGGGUACAAAAGCAUCACCACUAGCUGCCAACUACAAAAGAUCCUCACAAGACACUACCCACUACUCCCUACACUCCAGGCUCGUCGUCCGAGUCAGCGUCGAAGAUCGCCUCUCCAUCCUCAUCGCUAACCGGCUCAAGCUCCUCGUCCACCACGUCCUCGUGCAAAGGUGGUGCAGCCGCUGCUAGACCAUCGACCUCCAUACCAUCAUCAUCGGCCACAAUCACCUGAGGUCCCACCUCUGGAUACAUGGGUAUAGGGCGAGGAAUAGGGUGUAGCAAGUUAUUGAGACGGUGAAUCUCCACAAGACCAGCCUCAAUCUGAUCCUGUAGAUAGUUCUCCCGCUCAAGCGACUGAACUCGGUGCAUCUCCCAUGCUUGGCGCCUGUUCUCCGACACGCGGAAUGCAGUAUCCCUUUCACAGGUGAGCUGCACCAAGCGCUCCUAUAAGGUCUCCCUCUCUCUAGCUAACUGGCUCAUCUAAUCCUGCUUAUGAUCUCUCUCUCUAAUGGCCUUCACCCACUGCUGCCUACGAUACUCCGCAAUGUCUUCCCAGUCAUUGCGGUCCUUCUGAGCUUGCUCCAGGAGUCUAGCUUGCUUGCGAAACUUGCGAGCACGCUUUUCAGCCUUCCGCUACAUCUCCUGAGCCCUGCGAACAGCCACCAUCACCUGUGCAUAGGUGUUCUCUCGCUGACUGAUCAGGUUGAGCACAGCCAUCAUAGCGCUCAUAGCAGGACUAGAACUCUCAGCUCUCUCUCCCCCGCCUCGAACCAAAGCAUAACCAUCAGCCUGUUUCCACUCCGCUGCUGUUGGGUCAGCACGGGGAAUGGAGGCCGCUGGUCCUCCCGUCAGCUCAUCUCCACACCUUUGACAAAUAUCGAGCAGGAUAGUCUGGGCUGCAACCUGAGCUGCCUCCCAAGGAGUCUACCCAUCUGAGCUACAAGUCCAGCCUAUCCAUGCAGGCUUGUCCCCAUGUGGAGGGACAACUCCCUGCACAGCAAACCACUGUAUCCCUCCAGUGCUCUCCAACUCCCACCAGGAAUACUGAGGUGGCUUAGUAUACCCGACAGACUGAAGCACUCUCCAGAGCAAGGUAGGAGUGCCAAACUCGCUCAAGAAAGUGUCACUGGGACGGGGUGAAGCGGGUGCGUCCAUCUGUGGAAAGGAAUAGGAAUACCAUGGGUAAUAGAGGAUUAGUUUAAGCGACAUUUAUUUAUUUAAAAGGGACGAAAUUGUAAGGGUAGGAGUAGACAGAAUGUAUGCAUGAAUGCGACAUGAUGCAUGCACGAACCGUACGUCCUCACAAACUUAAAAAAUUAAUAUUCUAACGGAUAUACGGUGGCAUACAUUCGUCUCUCGAUACGAUAACUAUCAGUUUACACGUGCGCUGUUAGAGUACCUGCAGAAAACUUCAUUUCAGCCCAACAGUUCCCAAUAUAUCACUCAAGAAAGCAGUAAACUAAGUGCACAUUGCUUGGACAUACCCAAACAUGCACAAACAAUGACACCACAACUACUCGAGAAAUUAAAUACUCCCCAAUUAAGUUUCCUUCGUGGUUCCAUGGUUUCGACAUGUAUCCACUCCAGAAAACCACCGCGAACACUCUCCUAGACCGACGUUUGGACGAUCAUGCUCUCACAGCUCACACUUACCUGAGCGUAGGUGCGACGUUGCAUAAUUUAAAUCUAGCGACAUAUGUGGCUACUUCACAUAUGAAGGCUACCUCCACCAUUAGACCACAGGGUAGCAUAGUGCGGUCAUCACACAUCCAUACCUGAGUACUGCCGGAGAUGCAUAAAUAAAACCCCCAAGUCAGUACUUAAAUAGCCACCUAUAGUCCUUAUGUGGGCAAGGAGGAUUCGACCACUGACAUAACUUAAUUAGUUGUUUUACACUAUUUUAUUUAAAACUCUUUUGUUUUAAAUACACAAACGCUGCAUUCAUAAUGCUGAACUUGCUUCGAUACCAGCUGUCACAGAACCGACCAAAUUAUAAGAGUUCAAGUGCAGAAACGAUCGCCAAGCAAUCAAGUUUCCAAACUUGAGCCCAUAUAAUCCCGGUAGUCAAUUGAAAUCACGAAGGACUUCAAACCAACUCGCAACAAAACAACAUCGUAAUAGUUCAACAUAAACACAACGAAUGUUACAUAGUCAUACAUUGCCGUCGAAGCGGCACCACAUCGGAGUAUUAAGUUAUUACAACACUUGUUCGAAUUAGCGGAAGCAAAAUAGUUACACACACUUUCCAAAGUUCAGUUCAUAAGUUUGAGUUACUGCCAGAGUCUAUGUUAUCCUUCCAAAAGCAACAGGUACGAAGUUGUUAGAGAACCGUGCCCAACGGUUAGUCCUCAUCCCCAGCGGGAUGGAGACAGGUCUUGCAGAAGCCGUCAUAGAAGAUGUCAUCUGCAACAGGUGGGAAUAAACCCUGAGUACGAGAAUGUACUCAGCUAGACUUACCCGUCUAGUAAAACAUAAAAGACACCAAGGAUCAUGCAAGGCUAAAUAUCAAGUGGAGCUGGUUGACUCACCUUUUGCCAAAAGCUUAACUUACGACUAAGUUAUUUUGAGAGCAUCAUAUUUAUUUAUCAUCAGCCUACCACUAGAUUAGCACCUGUACUACAACACAUCACUUAAUUAUUACAAACAAUAAUAACCAUAUCAAAUUCAUCAUGUGUUCUUCUUGCUAUCAUCAUUAUCAUGAACCAAGUUCAUUAGUGACAGCUACGUUUGCCGCUGCUCUAUCAGGUUCUCACUAACCGGGAGAGACGGCGAUUCGAAUCGAAUUUCUAUCCAGCUGGAGGGUUAUUCCUAGCACUCACCCAAGCAUCCCCUGCCGGAGAGCCAACGGGUUACCUUUGCUACAACUCAGGAAUCGUGGCUCCGAUCAGCGCCGCACUCCCAGGGCUACCACUCUGCCAGGGAGGUCAGGAAUUUUAACUCACCUGCCUAUGGACUUACGCCAAUGGUCCCCCGCACACCGCACUUCCUCCGGUAGUGUGCACUUUAUACUUGCCGGUCUUCCGGCCUGAGUCAUACUACUCGGCUUCGCGGUCGGAAUGAGUUAUCCGGCCAACUAAGUGUCAGGCAUGCGUUCAACAUGACAAGAGGACGUACAACGAUCGGUCCUUAGCUGCCACAGACGGAGUUACUACAAACUUGCAAAACUCCGCCCGGCUUAAGUCAAUUUAAUCAGGUUCCAUCCACGAUAGCACAUAUAGACCAUCGUGAUCCGACAUAACCCUAUAUCGCGCAGGUGACAGGAUAUCACCCGACUUCUACCGAUUAAAGCAUGGCUAAGUGGCUACUCGAUCCUAACUCUACAACCAGAGUGUGGUGAGUUAUCUGGACAAGGAUAGAGUAGAAUGCAGCAAAAGUUUCAUCACAACUCCUAUACGUAAUGCAUCAAUAGAUAUAAUAUAUUAAGUAAACUUUCGAAAAUAAAGGGAGACUUAUAAUGCUCCGGGGCUUGCCUUUCACGAACGACACCGGCUCGUGAUUCGGGCACUCAACUUCUUCUUCGGGCUCCUCAAGUCCGGCUUGCUGGACCUCCACCUCUUGGCUGCCCUCCUGACCUUCGGGAUUCGCCUGCAGCUCGUAGAAGGCUGUCGCGUCCGAUGCACCUAUUGCAUGCCCGAACAAUAAGAAGAUGCACAUGCUAAAGAUGAAUGCUUGAUAGCAUAAGUAGCUCACUGGACACUCAAUUACGGAGCAAAAGUUAUAACAAGCUCACACAAGUUAAUAAGUUAGCUUAGCCCAAAACCUAUCAUGAUACUAAAUCAGCAAGCAACACAAAACAGGAGUGACUUGGUAAAUAAAUCAUAACUAAAGAUAGACAGGUCCAACAAACAUGAGUGAAGACAUUCUGGAAAGCUUAUGAAAUUGUCCACAAAUCAUCUUUAAACAUCACAGCAAGAUUCCUACAUGAAACCAGUCAUUUAAACAAGGUUCCAGGUUCUGUUCCAGAAAAACAGAGAGCACCUAUUUCUGGAACCUAAAUUGGAACAGCCAUAACUUUUAAAUUACAGGACCAAUUCAUUCCAAAUUUAAACCACAGCUAGUUCAAUAAGUUUACUACAACUUUGAUUUAGACAAGUUGCCCAGAAAACCAAAUUAUCAUCAAGCAAAAGUUAAAUUGCUCCCUUGCUGUCCAGAACAGCCUUUAACCCUAUAAUUAAUUAUUUAAUGACAUGACCAAAACACAAACCAUGCCAACCACAUGGCUUAUGAGCACAAGCACAUUACAAGUUUGCCAGAACAUCAGAUGACAACCCUCAACAUUUACUUAACAAGGCAUUUAUUAAUUAAUUCUAGAUAAGAGCAUAAUUAUAAGAUACCAGUCAAAGUGCUCAGAAAACUCUACAAAAAUUACAGAAGCACAAGUAUAGCAUCAGGGCAUCACCAUAAAAAUUUCAGAGCAAUUGCACAUACUAAAUUAAAGAUAUGUAUUUAACAUGUGCCAAGGCUCUUAUUUCAUAAAUUCAGAAACAAGACUUAUAUGGUACCAAACAACAGAUUUCAGAUUACUUAUAUAUGAGAAAUACCAUGAACAUGUUUACUACCAAAGUAGAGCACCAGCAUAAGCACCAAUUAUUUUAUAUGAUUUAAUUAAAGAAACAAGCCACACUUCAAUCAUAAAUUGCAUAUCAAAGCUGCAGCACACCAAAAAUCAUGAAAUAUUUACCAAAGCACUCUAAUACCAUACAGAGACUACCAUAAAAUUUUCAGAGUAAACUAAACAGUAUCACAAGAGAUAUGCAUUUAUCCAAGAAUAACAAGAUUAAAUCCUUAAUAAAUAUUUUCCCAGCAAACAUGGUUCAUUUUAUAUUUUUAUUAAAAACUAGCCAUCUCAAGGAAUACCACAAAAUUUGUUUCACAAUUUUUGGAUCUCAGAAACAGGAAAUAUGAUUUUUGCAAGAAAGCCAAAAAUCCAGAUUUCGAAUAAAAGAAAAGGAGGGAAGGAGGUGACACUGACAGUGGACCCCAUCUGUCAGGUCCUUCUUCCUCACGGCCGAAGCGACUUUUGCCGGUGAUUUCUCCGCGACGGCGAGGUCUCCGGCCAAACCAAGGGCAUCAGCGUGAUCCCCAAACCCUAACGACUCGAUUGACCCCCUUUUCCCCACGGCGGAGCCACCGGAAAGGGCCUGCCGUCGACGAUGGUGGCUCGGCGGAGGUGCUCGGCGUUACGCCGGAGCCCUCAGGCCGGUAGAGCGCAACCCGAGGCAUUCACAGCACCAGCGGACUACGGCGAAGCUUCCUAGGUACAUAGCUUGGCCUGGAUCCUCGUGGAACACGCUGGCCACGAGAGCACCCAUCUCCGGCGAAAACAUGGCGGCGCUGCGCACCGUGUCUGGCGACGGAGAGCUUGGUAGAGCGUCCGCCAAGUGGCGCAAAAGCUCACUACGGACCUAAGCUACCUCUAGGACCUAACCAGAGACGACGAGAGGCUUCACAGGGCUCGGCAUUGUGUUCGCCGGAGAAGAAGGUCACGGCGAGCCGAGUUGGGGGAAGAAGGAAAUGUCGGCUCACAGGUGGAUUUCUCGGCGAGUUAGAAGGUGGAGAUUGGAGAGCGGUUCACGGCGGAGCUUUGGGUGAAGUUUGGUGGGCAAUGGCGCAGCAGGGAACGCGCGCGAGCUCGCCGGAGUAAGCUCGCGGAGGAGAGCUCCCGGCGGCCGCGUUUCUGGCGAGCAGGGCGAGGGAGAGCGAAGUGGACGCGUCCACUCUGCGCGGGCGACGCCGUGGAGGUCAUGCACGCGACGGGAGCUGACAGGCGGGGCCAGAAACGGUGUACGGAUGACAAAUGUCGCCGUUGUGCUGCCGCCGGUCGGCCACGUCAGCGAGCUUCAAACCGAUUCAGACAAAACGAUGGCCGACUGACAGAGCUACUUUGGCAACGAUUUACUCCCAAACCAUUGCUAAUUAGAGGACGGUGCAGUUGACAAAGUUGGAGUUCCAACUGAGUUCUAAAACUUUGUCAAUUGGAGCAAAAGCCAAUUCGACCUAGAUUGAAAGAUAUAGAGUUUUCAAAAUUGAUCAAGCAAACUGGUUUCGUUCCAGGACUUAGAAAAUUUUCUAAGUGUUGGAAACAGCCCCAAAUCUGCCUUGUGGGUCACUUUUGAGCUAUUUGUGGUCAUUUUCAUGAGAUGGCCAUAAAACAAUUUUUGUUCCUUAUAAAAUUUGCUACAACUUUGCUGUAGAAAGUUUUGACAUGCAAACAUUUUAUGAAACACUUUUUAAAAGCCUAAGCAAAAGAGGUUUCUAGGGCCUAUUUUCAUAAGUGUGACUUAAAGGCAUAUUUUGGAGAAGUGACCAACAUGAACAUUGUUCCCAAAGUCAAGUUAAACAUAGAUAAACUAAUUACCAAGGCAUUGAGCACAAACACAAGCAUGGUUCACUCAAUUAUAAGCAUAGGAAGCCUAUUUAAGCAAUUUAAAACACAUUUUUGCAUAGAAUGACAUGGCUCCAGGUAUAUGAUGAUCAUGAUAUGCUUUGAGUAGAUGAUGAUGCUUAUGCUAUGCAAAUGAUCAAUGCAACCAUAACACUGGGGUGUUACAACGGGGAUCUCCCCUCAUCUCAGGCUUAGUUCUAACUAUAUUUAUUGCUAAUUAGAUGAUCUGCUAAUAGUUCUAUGCAUAGUUAUAUGUGACCCAUGCCUGCCCAAGUAGAUUUAUUUAUUUAUUCUUUGUUUAUUAUUUCUCUUAUAUUUUAUCCUUGAGGUUGAUCCAAUGUGUGUCCACUAUCUUGAAUAUCAUGUUUAUUCCUGUUUACUCUAUGUCUACCAAGCAUUCAAUAAGUAAUCAUGUUUACACCAUGUUUGACCCCUUUGCCUUCCCAUGGGAAUUAUAAAUUAGAAACCCUUGAACACUCACGAGUUGAAAUGCUACAAUGAUAGUUCUGUCCGCUUGCAGUUAUAUUACUUCUUCAUUCAUGAACUAUCGAUUGGCGUACCUAUGUACCAUUUCUUGAGAUUGUAAUCCUUGUGCACUUUCAAGCGUAGUGCCACAGCUUUGCAUAUCGCAAGUAAGGAUGGUUAGGAAGGCCAAUCCGGCAUUCCUAAUUAUUGUUACUAGACUACACUGCUAAGGCCGGUGCCCUCGAGUUGCAUUGGGUUAUCUCUCUGAUGUUGCGAUAGUUACGGUAUGCCAACACCCGACAUUUCUGGUGCCAUUGCUAAGGAUGGAUCUAUGGUCUAUUUUUAGUAAUGAUGCUAAGAAAUGCCAACAAGCAUUUCUGGUGCCGUUGCCGUGGAAGGCAAAAAUCAUACUUGCAUAAACAUUGAUUGCAUAAUAAGCAUAGGUAGCCAUAGAUUAAGCAGGAUAACUUUACUAUUUUCUUCCUCUUUUUAUUGGAAUGAAAACAGGAUAGUGUAUGAGUGGUUUCAACUUGCCGGCAAACUUCCACAGUGAUCCAGAAACACUCCUAAGGAAGAGAAGGGUUCAUACCAUCUCUUCUUCUGCUACGCAACCGGCAAGCGAAUCAACCGUUUCAGCACCAACCGCACCAAUCGCUAUGGCCAAGACACUUCGUGACUACUCCACUCCCGUUGUUGCCAACGUGCCGACUGGGCCCGCUGUCAAUAUGGGGAAUGGAAGCUUUGAGAUCCGCACUGGCCUCAUCUCUAUGGUGCAGGCAAGCCAAUUCUGUGGUCCGCCAAGCGAGGAUGCCAAUGCCCACCUUUAGAACUUCCUUGAGUUGUGCGACACCGUCGUCAUCAAGGACGUCAUGCAGAACAGCAUUAGGCUCCGUCUGCUUCCCUUUUCCCUUGCCGGAAAGGCAAAACAAUGGUUUUAUCAGAACAAGGAAGCUGUUGACACAUGGGAAAAGUGCACUGUGGCAUUCCUCGCCAAGUUUUUCCCCAUGAGCAGGACCAGCGCUUUGAGGGGGAAGAUCUAUAACUUUCAGCAGUCUUCACUUGAGUCCAUACCCAAAGCAUGGGAGAGGCUCCAGGAGUACAUCCGGGCCUGUCCUCAUCAUGGAAUGGAAGACUGGCUUGUGCUCCAGAACUUCUACGAAGGCCUCACGACAAUGUCAAAGGGGCAAGUAGAUGCCGCAGUUGGAGGUGCAUUCCUUUCUCUCACCAUUAAUGAAGCUACUGCCCUCAUCGAGAAGAUGGUGGCAAAUCAAAGCUAGGGAGAAGAAAGGAAAACACAAUAAGGCUCGCAAUUUGCGAAGGAGGCAGAUGUCCUUGCCGCAAAAAUAGACUUGUUGCUGCAAAGGAUGGACGGACAAGUUGCAAAUCCCAACAUGGGCACCGUCCAAGCAGUGAACUCACGCACAUCGUGUGAAGUUUGUGAUGAUGAUGGCCAUUCGGGGAACAAUUGCCCCGAAACCCAAGAAGAAGAAGCAUAUGUCAACAAUGGGUUUCGGCCACCAUAGCAAGGUAACAACGGGUGGAACAAUCAGAACCGCUCGCAGGGUAAUUUCUUCAAUCAGCCUUCUUUGAAAGAUCUGGUCAUAGGGCAAGCUAAAAUCAACGAGGAUCUGACCAAGAAGCUGUCCUACAAUGACAAGAUCAUUGAGAACAUCAACGCCAAGCUUGAAACUCUUUGUUCAUCUGUCAAAAGUCAGACGAGUUUCAACAAGAUGAUAGAAACACAGAUAGCACAGAUAGUUGCAUCAAUUCCAGUCAUUGACACAGAGAGGAUCCCAGGGCAAUCGGAAACCUCAACUAAGUUCGUCCAUGCAGCCACAGAAGAAUGAAGGAAGGAAAGUCUUGCCAACAGACUAUAAAUGUUGAGCCCUUACCGAAGGCAUUCCGUAGUUAUCUAAAAAAAACUAUAUAUAAUAAAAAUUAAUUUUGUGCUAUUUGUGUCCCAUAAAGAUAUCUGAAGGGGGCCCACGACAUCAAGCAAGUUUGGGGGAGGUGUCCCCGCUCAGGUAUUAUGUCUUUUUAAAUUUUUUAAAUUUCGCUUUAUUUCCCCUUUUUAUAGAAAGUUUUUAUUUUUAGUUUCCAAAAGUUUCCCUUUCUAUAGUAUUAUUUUUAGUCAAAAAUAAAGUUUCUCUGAAAAUCUUAUAAAAAAUAUUUCUGGUAGUGUAGAUUUUCCCAUUUCGAAAUCUUAUUUUUAUAUAAUUUUUGAAAACCAAAACUAUUUUGAAUAAAUAUGUGGAAAAUCAAAAUCUGGAGCAAGGUUUCAAACCAAGUCUGAUCGUAACCACAGAGACGUUUGGGGUGACCGUUGGAGCUAGCAUCCAAAAGGCCAGGCAGAGGCGGGCCCACAACUGGUGCGACCGCACCCUGCCUAAGGCCUGCUGGCCUCGGCCUUUGGGCAAUGGCUAGUAGCCGUUGAGGGGGCGCUCCCCCGCCUGCGAUCAACUCUAUAAGUGGAGAGGAUCCUGGCUGGAGCACCUCACCUCUCUAACACACAUUUCUUUUACUCUUCCCUUCUUCAAUGUCUUGCUCCACUUUGCUUCAUAGCCUACACCACAAGCUUAGUGCAAUAAAAUUCUGUCAAAAACCUCUUGCACACUUCCCUCUCCAAGCAAAAACACCAUACACUUGUGCUAGCUCGUCCACCAUAGAAUUUUCGAGCUUAGAAGGAGCCGCCGCCAACGCGGGGAAGAUCCACCAACCCCUGCAAGGAAGGAGCAGCCUAGACAUGGAGGAGUGGAGGAGGAGCCACAUGGCCACGCCAUUGACGAGGUCGACGCCCCCUUCAUCGACUUGGAGAGCGAGCGGGAGAUGCAGGCAGACAACCUCAUGAAGGAACGCGAGUUCCUCCAUUCGUUGGCAUUCAACCCCGCAUUCUUGCACCAAAUAGGUACGUAUGUUGAGUUUGAUACUAUUUUCGAGCAUCUUGGUUGGAGUAGAGUUGCCCCAUUCAUGAGCUUGGGUCACGUCUUUUGACGAUCCAAAUUUUGGGCUCUCUACAAAUUGUCGAUUAUGGUAUUACCUUCCGUUGCUUUGGAUGAGAUUUCAGUAUUUAUUGGAAGGAUCUUGCCAAUCGUUUGGGUUUCCACGAGCGGUGCUCCAUUGACUUAGGUUUCUCCCUCGGGGGUUACCAACGUCAUGCUCUCUGGCAUUUGAUCUCGGGGCAACACGUCGUUGGAAAGUUUCAGGGGCAUUCUAGCAACAUCCAUCACACCACUCUGAGGCUUCUCCAUACGUGGAUCGCUAGUUCAUUCUUUUCAAGACAUGAUACAAACCUUACUUACGACAUAGAGUUGAAGUUGCUUUAUGCUGCGCUAAAAAAGAUUAAGGUUGCACCUAUUGUUGAGCUUGUUAAUCAUUGGUUGCAUUCCAUUAAGACUUCAACUGCUAUCAUGUGCACAUCUCUUAUUACUCGCCUUGCUGCAAGUAUUGAUCCCCAUGUUGCUAAUGCCAUUAUUUACAUCACUACUGCUCACAUCAUGAUUAAUGAAUCAUAUAUUUCGCAUGCACAUGUGAUUAAACGCAACGAAACAGGUGCAAAGAUUUUAUAUUAUUUUCCGGGAUAUACAAAUGAGAUCUAGUUACCUAACCCGGGUCUCACUCUGUAUAAUUCCCCAUCACUCACCUUCACCCUCAUUGAGAGGGAAGGAGGACGCAGGAGCUCUAUUUCUCGCAGGAACUCACGGAGAAGGGAACAAGAAGAGCAGGCAGCACAAGCAACUAGGGCAGCACAGCCAGCACCAUCCGCACAGCUAGCACAGCACACUCCACCACCAGCUAUGCUGGAGAUGGGAUGGACACCUGCUAUACAUGCACCCGGAUUUACCCCUGGGUAUGGAUAUGGUAUGGGAUACGUUCCUCACCCCUACGAGGCUGGAGGUUCAAGCUGGCAGGCAGGAGGGUCGAGCUGGUAGGCGCACGGAGGCGCAGGCCCAAGCAAGCUAGAGGCAUAUGGGGUAGUGGGAUCCAGGCAUCACGAGCCAGGACACUCCUUAGAUUCCGAGGGAAUGCCACCCCCUAUUCGCCCACCAGUCACACCGGACGUCCUCAACACUCGCAUGGGAGGACUAGAGCUCUAGAACAAGUAGAUCCAAGGUACGCUGAAUGCCCACAUCUAGACUGCUACCCAAUGGCAUCAGCAGACCCAACAGAGCUUCAUCGUCCUUGAGGAUGCAAGCUGUCGUCAGCACGAGGCACAGAUGGCCUACUUGCGAGCCAUGGGACAUUUCCCUAGACUGCAGCAGUGAGCUAGCUUGGGGGAGGACCCCCACAAGAGGUAACAUGUAUGUUACACUCUUGCACUUAAUUUUAGUUCUUAAUUUCAGUAUUUAAAUUUCAGCAAUUUCAGUAUUUUCCAUCUCAUGUGCGCUAUGAUAUGUUAGUUUCUCUUCUUUUGAAAUGAUGAAUAGUUGCUUUGUCUAUAAUUCUCUAGUAUAUAAGUUAUAAUUUAGUGUUCAUCAAGAUUUAAGUUUGUUGGCUAAAAAUGUCUCAUUCUGAGAACUUGAAAUCUUGUGGGCUGCAAAUGCAUGAUCCUUUUCUAAGUUGUUACGAGACAUGAUAUGUUAUUAAUAGAUUUUGCUAUGACUUUGUUCUAAGAGAAACUUGACAUCCGGAGUUUUCUUUUCCAAAAUUCAAAACAAAGAGUACCUCAAUGAUUAUGAAAUACCUACCAAGGCCAUAUGACUUGAUUAGUAGUUUGUACACCUUUAGUUAUAUUCGGCUUGCAGUGCUUUGAGUUGAGUCAAAUCCCAGGUAUCCUAGAGUGACAUUAUGGUCAUGCACCCAUGAUAUGAGAUUCACGCACCCACCAAAUAAAGCUGACUCUCACACUGAGAAGUUGCGCACAACAUGCAUCCUUCCACCCACCAAACAUAUGCCAACUCUUACCUUGAGAGUUGCGCCUUAGCUUCCACCAAAAAUUCCACACACUUGCACAUCCCAAUCAAGGUGUAUGACUUGUAUCUCCUCAUGGUCCGGGCUUUGACUUGGCAACACAAGUGUCGUAAGUACGACCACCUUUAUACCUUCCCAAAGCUCCAUUCUCAGCCUUAGUGGUAGGUCUUAAAGGCAAAUACAAAUGCAUUUGGUGAGGAUUUCAUAUGCAUUGAGCGAUCAAGAGAAUCAUUCGAGGAACUUAUUUAUUUUGCAAAAAAUUAUAAAACCUCCGGAUUGAUGGUCUAUCAAGGGAUGAAUGAAUGGUGAGUCUGUUACAACCGUUCAAUCUUGCGACAACCCAAGAACUUGGAAAAAGCUAUAAGCCCCAUGAGAAGUCAAGGUAAAGAGUGGAUAGCAAGCCAACUUAUUUAAAUUUCGAAUGAAUGCUUUGUUAUAGGUAUGAUACUCUUGAAUUAUAUCGGCAUAGUAGAAACUCCUGAUCAACAACCAUACUUACUUAUUUGCUCAAGACGAGCAAAGGUUAAGCUUAGGGGACUUGUUGGCAGUCAUUAUAGACCAAUCAUAAACUGCCAACUUGAUCCAAAAGGAGAAGAAGCAAUCAUAUUAUAUACACACAUGCAUUUUAUUACUAUCAAGUUCCACUUGUACCAUAGUGAUUAUAUUUUGCAGGAAUUAUACUGCAACAAGUGAAAAUGUGCCAUACUACGAAGAAAUCGCAAAGUACCAAUAGAGGUAUUCAGAAAUACGCAAAUCAAGAAAAUAGAGAAAGGCCCGAACAACGCAGAACUGGGCCUGAUCGUAACCACGGGAGAGAUCCAGGCCCAGAGCCAAACCAACCACGCGAAGGCGGUGGCCAGGGGGACCCACCCAGUUUGCGGCCGCACCUUGGUGUGGGCGCACUCCUAGAGGCGGCAAACCGGGCCCUUCUUUCUCACGCGGUUGCAUGCCGCCAUGCAUAGGACGGUUUCACCUACUACCAAAUUUACAUGCGAUGAACCAUCCUAGUUCUACUAUAAAAAGAGAGGCACUCCCCCCUUUUCAACACACACAUCAUUUGGAGUCAAUUUACCUCACACCUCUCAAUUGUAUCUUUAUUCUAGAUUAGUAGUAGAGCAAGGCAAGAGCGAGCAAGGAGAGCUUGUCUCCUUGGAGGAAAGGAUCUUUUUGGUAUAAAUAAUAUUUAAUCUUCUUCAAUGAGCGAGUUCUAAUUAUCUUUAUAUGAUUAUGCACAUGAACUAGAGUAUGGUUGUGUUCUUAUCAUGUUCAUAGUAUAUGAACUAGUUCUUAGUUCUUAUUCUAUGUUCUUGAUAUGUUCAUCAUUGUUCUUCAUUGUUCAUCAGAUUAGUAUGAUUAGGAUUAGAAUUAGGAAUGGGAUGAUAGUUCAUUGUGCUGUGAUGGUUGCUCUUAGCCUAGCCUGUCACUCCGAAGGGGUGGGCCCCGCGGGGGUUAGGAGUUGUUUCCAAUUAUGUGAACAUGGUGUUCAGGUAUGCGGGAAUCAGUGGAUGUGCGGGUAUCUUUCGGGUAGAGGGGUAGGUGGCAGGGUAGUGACAGCUCUGUCAUCCUUUGCAUUCCCCCACGACCAGGUAUUCCGAUAAUAGUUCUAUAAAGUCUCUGUCGGCUGGGUAUCCAGCUGCGGGGAUCUCCCCUCAUCUCAGGCUUAGUUCUAACUCUAUUUAUUGCUAAUUAGAUGAUCCACUAAUAGUUCUAUGCAUAGUUAUAUGUGACCCAUGCCUGCUCAAGUAGAUUUAUUUCUUUAUUCUUUAUUUAUUAUUUCUCUUCUAUUUUAUCCUUGAGGUUGAUCCAAUGUGUGUCCACUAUCUUGAAUAUCAUGUUUAUUCCUGUUUACUCUAUGUCUACCAAAUAUUCAAUAAGUAAUCAUGUUUACACCAUGUUUGAUCCCUUUGCCUUCCCACGAGAAUUAUAAAUUCGACACCCUUGAAUACUCACGGGUUGAAAUGCUACAAUGAUAGUUCUGUCCGCUUGCAGUUAUAUUACUUCUUCAUUCAAGAACUAUCGAUUGGCGUACCUAAGUACCGUUACUUAAGAUUGUAAUCCUUGUGCACUCUCAAGCGUAGUGCCACAGCUUUGCAUAUCGCAAGUAAGGAUGGUUAGGAAGGCCAAUCAGACAUUCCUAAUUAUUGUUACCAAAGUGCACUGCUAAGGCCAGUGCCCUCAAGUUGCCUUGGGUUAUCUCUCGGAAGUAGCGAUAGUUACGGUAUGCCAGCACCCAACAUUUCUGGUGCCAUUGCUAAGGAUGGAUCUAUGGUCUAUUUUUAGAAAUGACACUAAGAAAUGCCAAAAGCAGCUUUGCUCGUGCAUUCACAUCCAAGGGUUGAGGCGAGUUACCCUUAAGUGGAAGCUCUUCCCAUUCUCUUUGACAGGAAAAGCCAGACGGUGGUACUCUCGCUAUGUAGGUAUUUUAGACGGAGAAGUUGCAAGCCAAGUUUUGUCUUACCUACUUCCCCAUUUCCUGCGUGGCUCGUCUCCAUAGAGAGAUCCUAAACAUCAAGAAUGAAGAAAAGGAAUCUCUAGGUGCGGCUUGGGCGCGAAUCGCAGACUUAGCAUCCUUAGGCCUAGACUUAGCCAUAACCGAGCCAACACUAAUGCAGCAUUUCUAUCUCGGACUUAGGCAAAGUUCUACACAAUUCAUGGAUCUAGCCUCAAAGGGAGCAUUCCUUCAUUUACCCAUUAGUGAAGGUUGGGUGGUUCUAGCAACCAUACUAGACAACACCCCCUACACUGAUGACCAUAGUGAUGCCCUUGAGGAAGACAAACCCCUAGGGACGAAACCUCAUCAGCCGACACUACAGUAGCCACAUGACAAGCUGUCGAGCCUGAACCACAAUCCCAAACACCUCCAAGCGAAGAAGUGAUUCAUCCCUUGGAGUAUCCUCUUAACAUCAAGACGGAUCUUUUCGCUGAUUAUGGCAAUGUCUCGAACCAACCUGUGCAAAAGGAGAAACCACAACACUCCAAAAGAACAAGUAUCUUCUUGCUUAGAGGCUUGUUACCUAAAAAAACUGCUCAAGAGCUCAUGACCAUUAUGAGCAGCGAAUGGUUGAAGGAGUUAGAAGCGUUGUUUGAUGUUAUCAGGCUUCUCUCCUGCUUCACAACAUUCGUUGUCUCAUAAGCAGGACUCCCAUGGAUUCUCUUUAUGACCCCGCCGUAGGAGCACCUGUAAUGUCUAUGAAUUUAGCAUUUACACUCAUAGGAGAGGAACCGUUAGUUUCGACAGAAAAGUUUCUCAAGUUACCAUCUGGAGAAUUGGUCGAGUGCUGCGACCUUGCACAGAAUGUGUCUAUUGUCAUUAACAAGGUCCAUGUCCUCUUGAAUUUCUACAUCUUUGAUGUAGAGGACAUUGACUUGUUAAUUGGGCAACCGCUUAUGAGAUUCAUUGAUGGAUUUCAUAGCGGGCACCUCAAGGGUCAGAUAGGGAAGAAUCUAAACUUGUCCAUUCCCUAUGUCGGCUCGAUUAACGCCAAAAUCAAGCUGAAUCCAAAAACUGACCCGAUAGAGGAAGUGAUAGUAGCCACUCACCUAGAGGCAUCACACCCUAAUCUAGAGGAGGAAGCUAAGGAUUACAUCGAAGAGCUUGAAACAGAACUAUAUGAACCACUUGAGCUAGAUGAAUCCAAGCCACCACCUAAGCCGCCAUCAUCUACGUUGGGUUUGGCCAAAUCCAUCUACAGUUCGCAGGUAAGAGGAUCAAAUGUCCUUUCAAUGGCUAUAAAACUAACAUGCAGCCAAAGGACACGAAACCAGAGGAGAAACCUUGUGGCAAAUUCCACCGAAGGUACAACAAAGGCAAGUCAGCCAAAAAGGCCGAACAGAAGGAGGAAGCCGCCAAGCAACCAGAACAUUCCAAAAAAGGAAUGGCGGGCAAAGGAGAUACCUGCACGGUCCCCGUCUCUAGGACCAACCAGGGUGUCCAUAGAAUGAAAUCCAACGGAUAGGUCCUGCUCUAUGGACCUAAAACAUGGAGCCCUCCGCUGACCAGGUAUGUCAGUAGUUAUCUCAUGUUUGUUUUCUGCAUUUAAAUUUUGCUUUCCAAUUGCAUGCUUACUAAAAAAUGCAUUAUUUUAUUUUGACCAAAUAACUUAGACUUAAAUAAUAAAACUUGAGAAGAGUGAUUAGAUAAAAGGUGAGCUGGUGGGGCCACCAUUGUCAGGUCGGCCAACCUGGCUUUGUGGGUCCACCACCUCUCCUUCCACUCUAGCUAGAAGCUGGAAUCCUAGGAGUGGCAUUAGGUGCCCUAGGGCUCCCAAGGGCAGGUCGAUCGACCUUGCCUUGGUGCCACCAGGCAUCCUACUACCUCCUAAUGGUGAUGUCAAAGGAUCCCAUGCUCAACACACUAGCCAGAAUUCGAGGUGAGAUGGUCCAAUGCCCAUGACUUCAGCUUAGGAUGCUACUUUAAGCACUUUGAUGCUUUAGGAACAUGCCAACAGCCAAAGCUAGCAUAGGGAGUAACAAUGCAUGCUUAAGGGUACCCAUGGUCCGUGGGAAUCACUUUGGUGCUUGUCCCCUCUCUUGCUUUCUCCUUUUCUCUUGCACCAAGCACUAAACAUGGGAAUCCGAGGCAACCAGCAGCAACUUUAGGUUAGCACCACCACCGUCAUUAUCAGACAACCCAACAUAGCAUGAUUAAAGUGGUGCGGGGCAAAAGACAUGGUCGACCUACCAUGCUUUUGGUCCCACUUGGUGACCUUUUGCAAGUAUGAGACUAGGUUCCCUGUCCAAAGUUGAAGGCAUGCUACAAAGGGGGUGAUCCCUGGUCGACCGACCCGCCCUAUGGGGGUCUUGCCAUGCCCUUUCGCCCCUAUAAAUAGCACCCCAAUGUUAGCUUAAUGCCACACCAAAACCAGCAAAAUCAUCUUGAGCUCACUUGGCCUUCUCUCUUCUCUUUAGUGUUCCAAGCCUUCUCAAGCUUAGUGUAGUAGUAGAUAUAAACCCAAAAACAUUUCCCUUCUGCAUAGUAGUAUAGUAGGAAGCUUGGUCUUGAUUAUUCACUUGUGAAGCUAGCAUGAAGAAAUUCAUCUCCGCCAAGCUCACCAAAAAGAGGUAGGGUGAUGCUCAUCCUCGAGCUCUCACCACUCCGAGAGUAGGAGCCAUGAGAGAGUGGAGGAGGAAGAACUGCACACACUUGUUCCCUUCAUCCCCGCUGAUAGGAUACUGGGGCCCCACGUCAACCUCUUGCUCACUCAUGGAGAGCUAGGGAAGCUCUAUACCCUUCGCACUUGCGGCUUCAACCACACUGCUGUCUUUGACGAGCAACUCUUGGACCAAUGAGGUAUGAGCACCGACUUUCCUACUGUCUUUUAUGCCAUUGGUUGGGGUGGAUUUUGGUAAGUUCCUGAAUUUGGUGUAGAAGUACUCUCUCAAGAAUUUCUCGCCACACUAAAAUCAAAUGAUGAGGGAGUAAUUUUUCGCAUGUUCAACAAAGAUUAAAGUUUAACUUGGAGUGAGCUAAGUACAUGUCUAGGCUUUGAUCAAGAUUGUGAGCUGGACAUAGAUCAUGCUUUGCAAAAUUUUGACUUAGCUAAAUUCUAGAAGUUGAUUACUUGCUCCAGUAAUUUCUCUGUUCGUAGACCUGUCCAAAUCCAUAACCCAACCUUAAGAUUCAUGUACUUGUCGAUCGUAAUCACUCUCUUCCCUGGUACUAGUGUGGACGAUAUAGGCUUUAAAGAAUUGCAAAUCCUUUAUGCCAUCGUAAAUAAAAUUAGAUUUUCACCUGUCAAGUGGCUAGUACCUUUCUGCAUUUCCUCCAUUGCACCUAGCAUGCCCCUAUGCUUUACUUCACUUAUCACUAGAAUUGCUGAAUCUAUGGGUUUGCUUAAACAAAUGUAGUAGAGUACAUCCAGGAUGAUAGAUCUAUCUUAGGUGAGCAGAUGUUUAUGAGUGCUAAUUUGAUUAAGAGAGAUCCUAGAAAUUACCUUAAAAUGAUUUAUGGGAACCAUCCCAUUAAGAAAAAAAACUUAAUUGUUCCUCAAUGGUGUUAAAUUCCUACCACAAACCAUAUAUGUUGUACAUGAUAGAAACCCAGCACAUAGGCUGCUUGUUUGUGUUGAGAGUUGUCAACUCUUGUUGACCCUUGGUUUAGAGUUGUAUCAUGCUCAAUGAGAUCAAGAUCCACACCAUCCACAUACAUCUGCUGCUCCUACACUGGGAGUAUGCAACAUUCCAUACCAUUCCAUUCCAUUCCACCAAAAAUAGAUGCUCCAUGCUCUAAGUGUAGAAUCUCUCUCUAAUAACUUAAUGUUAGGUGAGACACAAAGCAAAGGCUAUAGAAAAAUAAUCAUCUUGUUAGGAAGGACAUCAUCAAUUCCUUGAAAAAAAGGAGAAAAAUGCUAGCCUUGUCUCAAUAGAAAAAAGAGAGCACAAUCAAAUAAAGGAGCCAUCUAGCCAUCAUACUCAUACCACCUUUCCACAUAUAUAUGUUGAUCUCGAGCAUGACACUACUCUUCCUCCAAGGAUCCAAGGUUUGACUUCACAACAUAUGCAAUGUAAGUACACCAUCCCCUUGUUCCUACCUUGAGCUCCACAUAAGCAUUUAUUGUAGUAGAAUUACAUAGAGAAGGCAACUUACUCAUAUGCCUCGGUAAGGAUUUAUACACCACUUGAGUGACUUGAGAGAAACAAUAUGAGGAACAUUAAGAUUUCUUUUGAAAAACUUAGCAAAAACCUCUGGCAUGAAACUUGCUAAAGAACAAGAAAAGUAGAUGUCCACUCAAAGCUGUUCUAUCUCUCAACAUCCCAAGGCUGAGUUAAUACUAUAAGCCCCAUGGGUGCUAAAGUAACAUUGGUGUGUUAGCAUUGCUAAGUUUUCUAUUCAAGGAUAAGUUCUUUGUUGUGCACUUAGUGCUAUUAAGAUGUUAACUUAGUGAUAAAGCCUGAUCCAAUCGAACCAAGUCUUGAUUGUUUGCUCGGGACGAGCAAAGGUUAAGCUUGGGGGAUCUUGUUGACGGGAAAUAAGACCCAGUUCUAUAUACUCAAAACCCCGUCAACAGUCCUCGAUUGAAGGAAGAUAAACAUCACAUGAACAUAUUGAUCACUAAUAAAGUUCCACUUGUACUCUUAGCUUGUUCACUGCAGUAAGGAAAUGAGCCCUGUGUGCCCCAUAACUUAGGUCGACCGAUCAGGAUUUGGGCCACCAGGGGCUCCCCUCCAUGGCAUGAGCCAUGGCAUCCUCCAAGGAGUCAAUCCCAACCAUUGGAUCCAAGUGUGCUUGCUCUCAACGGUUCAAACACCUAGCACAUGGAUCCUUGGGCCUACAUGAAAACAAGCAAGUGUGCAACUAGACUCAAUUUUGGACAACACUUCACAUGACAAGUGGGGACACCACCACGAGGACAGAGGUGGGCCAGGGGCCCCAAAGGUCGGUCGACCGAUCGAACAAUUGGGUGAUGCCACCAGGCCCAACCUCCCACCGACCUAGGGACCUUCUAGAAGGUCAGUGGGACCCACUAUCAUCCAAAUGGCAGGUCGGCUGACCAACAUGUGGGACCCAACUUGAGUCGGUUCACUCCCACCGACAUCCCUAUGAUGAACAUGUGAUGGAAAUUCCCAACCAUUGAUCAUAUGGUGGUUCCAAGGUCGGUUUGAUCCAACGGUGCAUGCUGGAGGUCAUGCGGAUCGCUGACGUUGCGCUGGAGUAGCCCCUACUCCAUCUCCCCCUAUAAAUACCCCCUUAGAGAGCCUGAGCAGUCGCAGCUUGUCGGGAGUCUUCUUCCACGAGCGCCUCAGUGGAUAAUUGUCUUUUAGUAAGUCUUCCUUCUAGUUGCCUUUCAUUUAAGUAUACAACCGGCCUAUCUGGCACAUUGCUUUGCCUUGUGUGAACUGCUUGAAACCUUAGCUGGGUCCAGAGUAGUAGAAUUAGUGUAGAAGUAGUGUCUAGACUAAGACUGCCCUUGUGGACUUCUUGUCGCACCUGAAGAACGCCAGCAGCGUAGCGUGACAGGGCUCUACUGGACAUUAGGAGUUUUCUUCAGUGUGUUGUUAGGCAAGUUGCAAAUAAUUGUUGGCCUGCAUGGUAGCUGUCUAGGGCAUUGUUAGGCAAGCUGCAAAUAAUAUGAUUUGCAAGUUUUUAAAGUAAAUCUCCAGAACUCAGUGUUGUAAGAACAAGAUAAACAGCAACUCAAACUUUAUAUCAUGUCUAUCUCUUACCUAGACUUUAGUUUUAGGCUCAUGCUCCCAUAUAUAUUAAAUUUCAGGUUUUAGUAAUUCUUGGGAGAACUCUAAUUUGAAAGCUAGGUACUUGCAUGUAAGCAGACAGAACAACUGUUCAUCAUUUCCAUCAUGCUUCUUUUUGGUUUUUUUAGUUUUUUCUAGAGAUUAAACUUAACAUGAAAAAUAAAGCAAACUAUCUACACACUAUUUUUAUGUGGUUUUCAUGUUUAAAGAAUGCAGUAAACUAAGCAAGAAAAUAUUUAUUGGGUUUUCUAAGUUUUUUAAAUUUUUUUUAAUAUGAAAACAGAAAAAUAAAUAAGAAAAACAAUAAAAACUUACUCGGUAAAUGGGGAGGAACUCCCCCAAGCUGGAUGUGGCUAUGUCGGUCUUACACAAUGUUCCACGACCGCAUCAUGGUGAUGAUGUUGUCAUUCAUCAUCGUGGUGUCUCGCCUUAUGUCUUGUACCGCAGCGGUGUGGUCCUGGUUCCACUUUUUUUGUUGUUCCAGGAGUCGUCCAUGCUGCGUUUGCCUUUCUUGUAUGGCGAGGAGGGUGUUGUCGGUGCGGUUGAAGAAGGCACCGGCCUAUUGGUAGUAGUCCCCAGAGAAAACAUAGGAGGUGUCGGAGUAACGUCCUGCAUCAAAUUGGGGCUGGAGCCUAGACCCUGAAGCUCCAAACGGAUCAGUGGAGUACCUUCCCGAACGGAAAGGCGGGUUCGCCCACUGGUGAUCUUGGCCUUCAGGCCACGUCUCCUGUGCUGGUUCUUCUGGUUGAGCUUGUUUUACCCACGGGUCUCGAAGGACUCGGGGGUUGUAGUUGCGAUAAUGCAGGUGUGCUGCUUCUUCCGGCCUAGGAUCAGCUCCAUGCCAUGUUUGUUCUUGGUGGGUGGUCAUCCUUUCGGAAGCCACACGCUGUGGAGCUCUCUGGUUCACCGGUGCCACUGCAAUCUCAAUCAAAUAAUUUUCAACGACAUACAGGCCAAGGUUUCGGUUAGGUAACCGAAUCUUGCCUUUAUUAUCAUACAACAUGUACAUUACGUUUCCUUCCUUUUUCAGCAUCCGAGCUUGUCUGAACGUGUCAUAGCCACGAUAAAUUCAUAACUCGUCAAUGAAUUCCAAUGACGAGUUCUCUAGCAAAUUGAGACUAGACGCUAGACGAGUGAUGAAUGAAGUACAACCGAUAGGUCCCUGAAGACUAGGUAAUCUAAGCAAUGAGCAACUAAAAGAGUAACAUGUGAAAUAGGUAUUUUGUCUAUAGAAGCAUAUAAAAAGUUGUAAAUCUCCUACUCUUAACUUCCUAAUGUCAUCGCGAUAGAAAAGAUUGUACCCGAUCCAUUUGUGGAACAUCUAGAGUGUAGGAUGCUCCAUGUUGGUUCGGGGUUGGAAGAAGUAUUCGUCCCUCGAAAUCCCCCUCCAAAACUGGUUUCUCUCAAAAUUGGGCAAAUCGGUGUCAAUAUCUAGGAUGCAUCUUGAAGAGAAACCGAGAUGGUCGCUCAGUUCUCUCCAAGACAACAUGAUUUCUUGUUUGAACAUCCGAAAAGCGAUACCCCCCUCACAAUAUUGCAAAGUGCAAAGAAAUUCAAUGGUGAGAAGAUGAGACCCUAGUUCAGUGAUGUCACAGAAAUUUGUCCAUCCCACCAUCCGAAAAAUCAAGUUAAAUUCGGUGUCCAUACCUGUCUACUGUAGCUGGAUAGGAUCAAGAGUGGGGGUGUGAAUGAAACUCUUGUACUUUAGCUACUGGAAAACUUCCUUCUCUCUGCGAGUCUUCAGCCCAAGGUCUCCCGUAUUGAGGAGAACCUUGACUCUUGUGCCUGAUGAAGGCGAUUGAGCUUGCUCGGGCAUCGGGUAGACGCUCAUCUCCGAUUGGUGCAAGGAGAGUCGAGAUGAACUCCUCGUCCCAAUGUUCUUGAUGGCCUUGGCCGUGUUCUUUGCCUUCCUAAACAUCCUACAAAAUUGACACAAACAAAAACUCAUGGAGAAUGUGAGAGAUAAAAGUUAGUGGUCAGUCGUCCAAAAAGUCAGUUGUCUAGGGGUUAGUCGUCCGAGAAAAAUCUUUAAUUGAAGAAUUCGACAGCACUUCCCCUAAGCAACUUCUAGUUCCGCUUUUGGACAGCGGGAUCACUAAUUACUAGAUGAGCCUUGCUCUAUCACUCUCCUAUUUCAAAAACUAUCAAGCUUUCUUCUACUCUUUCCUUCCCUUCAACUCUCCUUCUCUCUUCACUACAAGAGCACAUCCUCUGGAAACCGAGAACUGAAGUGUGUAAGUGUUUUCUAGAAUGUGUGUGUGAUGAAGAUGGAGGCAGGAGGUGGCCUUUUAUAGAUGGAAGGGGGGACUAGUGUUCGCCUAAACGGCCUUAACGGCCGAUUAAACGGUAAACGGUGGCAAACUAUUUGUUUUGGGGUAAACAGGAAAUGAAACGGUUGACCGUUUAAACAGUGAAAAAACGGGAAAAAACGGCCUAAACAGAAUGGUUGUAAACGGUAUUAAACGUGCUAAAUGGCUGUUUAAAAGGCUAUUUAGGCAAACACCAUGUGAACCUUGUUGAAUUUUAUAUCAACAAUUUGUAUACUUAAAUUUAUUAUAUUUAAAAAUAUGUAAAAUUGAUUUAUUACGUGCAUACAUAUGUAUAUUUGAUUCUUAUACAUGCAUAAAUAUAUAUACAUAAUAAAAUAAACAGUUUUUAGUUGCAUAAAUAUGUAUAAAUGAUAGAAUCAUUGAUUUUACAUUAAAAAUAUGCAUAUUUUUGUAAUAUUGUGUGAAACCGUUUAAACACCGUCUAAAGAGUCUAAAUGCUAAACGAAGCGUGACCGACUGUUUACCAUUUAGGGUUUAGGAUAACAUUGGAGGGGCCAGGGCGGGCGCCCUAUGGUGGCCUCCUCUCUAGUUGAAACUUCUCCACUUACUCACUUGCUUAGUCUUUACGCCAAAAAAUGCUGCAUGGGUGGUGGUUGGACGGUGGAAGUUGUCUGGUGAGUGGAAUGGUGUUGGUGGAUGAAAUAAGGUGAUAAGAUGUAUGUGAGGUGUGGUGUAUGACAUGUGGGAGCCAAGGGAUGUGGGUCAUGCUUCUAGAAGCCUGAUAUAAUUAAAUAUAAUGCAGGAAAAACUAAGAGAAUUAAAACUUAUUGAGAAUGAUCAUGGAAAAAUAUUUUUGUGCCACCACUAUAAUUAAUAAAUAUGGGUUGUCACACACCAUAGAUAUUAUUAUUGUGGGGCUUUUAUUUAUUAUAAUAAUGCUAUGAAUAAAUAUGACUAAUGCAAGAAUUAAAUAUGCUUGAAAUCGAACAAUGUAGAUAAAUACCGAUUUACCUCCCGGCGAAGGUUUGGGAUUUUAGGGUCCCCCAAGCUGGAGCUCCAAAUCUUUAAUCUUCUGAUGUACCAUCCUCUGGAGAUGGUGUCUCCAGUGGUUCUUCUUCAUGAACCUCCUUCAUUGUAGAGUCUCUCUCUGGUUUGGGUUUAAAUGUGAAGUGUUCUUCUUGUCCGUUUAUGCUGAACUUGAUUUUUCCCUUUUCGACAUCAUUGUGGGCAUUGGCGGUGCUUAGAAAUGGCCUUCCAAGGAUGAUGGACACUUUUGAGUUGGGACUCAUGUCCAAUACCGUGAAGUCUACUGGCACAAGGAAAUCUCUUAUCUUGACUGGGAUGUUUUCAGCGAUGCCCAUCGGGUGUCGAACUGAUUAAUGUGCUAGUUGUAGGCACAUUAAUGUUGGUUCUAGGGUUGUAUGCUCGAGCUUCUUGUAGACUGAUGAUGGCAUCACACUGACACUUGCUCCAAGAUCACAAAGUGCAUUGUUGAAGUAUUGGUUUCCGAUCGAGCAAUCAAUGGUGGGGCAUCCUAGAUCCUUCUUCUCCUUCGGUGGUUUGUUGAGGAUGGCCGCACUACAUUCUUUUGUCAGCUUGAUCACCUCAGUGGUGGGCAGUGAUCUCUUCUUGUUAACAAUAUCUCUAAUGUAUUUUGCAUAUGUGGGUACCUGUAUGGCAUCAAGUAGAGGUAUGUUGACAUAUAAUUUCUAAAUGACCUCUACAAACUUACCAAACUGCUCAUCUGACUGCAGUCCUGUGUUUCUUCUGGGAAAUGGCAAAUAGUUGGAGUCGUGAAAAUCUUUCCUCAUUUCUCCGAUACUUGGUGGUUGUAGCAGAUCUUCUGCUUCAACGGGGUUCUCUUCUUCUAUCACUGCUGGUGGCAUUGGUGCUCUUUGCUUCUCUCUUGGAUGUGGGGGAUCUUUGGUGGAUUUCCCUCCUCUAGUAGUUAUGUUCUUUACCUACUCAAUGUUAGUGGCAACAGGCAACACAGCAGCUGGCUUUGCUAAUUUAAGCUCUACCCUUUUAUUAAGAGUGUUUUGCUCAUCAAAGGCAGUUAAUAGAAAAUCCAUUUUUUUGUGUAUAUCUUUUAGAGAUGAUUCAUUUGUAUCUAACCUUUGUUUAACUUCAUCAUUAGUUUUUGUUUGUUGAGCAGUUAUCUCCUUUAAUGUAGGUUGUUUGAAAGCAUUACCUGAAUUCAUACCUUUGCUAUUGGGUUGACUUGAAGUGGGUUGAUAUUUGUAUGCUGUCUCAAUGGCCCUCUGAUCUUCUUUGUACUUGGCCCUUUGGUCAAGCCAAUGGAGCAAAUUUUCCAUCUUGGUUGAUAGUGCAUUCACUUCUUCGGCUAUUUCUUCGGUUUGAUGACAAUGUCGAGCUUUCUCAUGGAACCAACUUUGGUUUUCUCCUAUCUUAUCCAAAAGUGUUUCUGCUUUUCCAAUUGUAAGCUCCAAACAUGAUCCUUUAGCAGAUGCAUCUAGGCACUCACAAGCCUUUCGGGUUAAUCCAUGAUAAAAGGUCUGCAUGAGUAACCAUCUAGCAAUUCCAUGGUGAGGACAAUCUAAUAUGUAUCCUCGAAAAUGCUCCCAUGCUUCUAGAAUGGUUUCUAUCUUCUACUGUUGGAAACUGACAAUAUUUCUUCUUAAGGUAGCUGUUUUGCCUAUAGGGAAAAACUUUGCUAGAAAGGCAUCUGACAAGUUCGUCCAAUUGUUGAUGUUUUCUUGAUUGGUGUAGAACCACUUCCUUGCUCUUCUUUCUAGUGAGAAUGGAAAGCGGCGAAGCAGUAUGACGUCUUUGUCAACUCCAUUGAUGCUGAUUGUGCUUCCAAUCUCUAAGAAAUUCUGCAAGUGUGUACUGGCAUCUUCAUGUGCCUUUCCACUAAAUUGUGUAGCUUGCACCAAAUUGAAGAGGCUUGACUUGAGCUCGAACUCAGGUGCUCCUUCUUCUACUUCAAAUCUUGACCAGUUGGAAUGUUCUCAAGGCUUGGAGCAGAGAAUUCUUGUAGGGUCUUCUGUGCCAUAGCUUCAAAAAUUGGUGGCUAGCUUCUUCUUUCUUGAUUGCUUUGGUUCUGAUGAUGAAGAGUUGAAUGUAUCAAAGUCAAUCCUGAUAUACCCUAUAUAAAAUUAUAAACAUAGAAAAACAAUAGGGUGAACCUGCCAAAGCAGACGUGCCUUGUUAUGAUUUCUCAUUUUUAUAGUAGCUAUUUAUGAAAUUAUUUCUCCAUAGUCUAGUCUAAUAUUUUAUGUGCGUAACCUUGACCGACUUCCUGACUUUCCUUACCGGUCCCUGGCAACGGCGCCAAAAAUGCUUGUUGACACUUGCUAACACCACUUGAAUACUAGGUUGUCAUCCCCAACAUUGUGCGAGAGUGUACUAAGGUAUUUAUGAAUAUGAAGGCUCUCUAGAAAAUAAUAUAUUCUAUCCACAAGCGCACAGAUAAAAUACCUCAUUGUAUCAUUUCACUAGGAAAAGUAUUCCGGGUAUCGUUAUUUAUAAUUUUGCUUAAGAGAACGGCAAAAGUGAAAUUAGGGGUAAAAUAUAUCAAGGUGUAGACUAGAGAUAAAUUUGCAAGAACAUGAUUACUAAUGAGAAAAUCAUUACACAGUCACUUGCUUUGGCAGGGAGUAGGCCAUAAAAAUAAAGAUAAUGAACUAUAAGCUCAUCGGUAAAUAACACAGCGAUUAGAAAUAGACUACUCCACAUAAAAUGUAAGGUGACGUCGGACUAGUGUUGGGUAUUUUAAACGCAAACAGAAAAAUCCGCAAGCGCACGGAUACCGAUGUAGCUUUCACCCGGGAGUAUUCCAGAGUAUCGAUUUUCCACAGAGAACGUGAGUGUACUAAUUAAGAUCCAAGAUCGCCCCUUGAUAACUAUAUGAAUAUUUUUGGUGGGAAGAGAGGAAGUUUCCUGAGAGUUCUCUAGUUGAUCUAAGAAUCAAGAAUUACUUCAAGAUUAUCUAUAUCGGGACAUCAGAGCACUAACCACAGAAAGAGAUGAGAAGGGGGCUAGGAAGGUCUGACUACGGUCCUACAAACACCGAUCCGAACGUGGUGGAAUACGUCGACCGUUAGGGCUGUCACUACCCUAGGGCUACCUCAACAAUCCGUAGGAUUGGGUGCAAUUCCAGGUAAUCACAAGACUAAACACCACGUCUAAUCUAUUAAUUACUACUCUAGCGUUAUAAAGACUAGAGCACUUGAUGCAAGCGGGAAUCCAAUAAAUAACUUGAAUGUAAAUAAAAGUAAUUAGAGAACUUAGGAUUAUGAAUUGAAGAACCUGGAGAACGAUGAAGAACGAACCAGAUGCUGCAAAAGUAUAAUGUUGAGGAAGAUCCGACAGAUCCGGCUCCUCCUAUUUUCUAGAUUACAACUAGAACUAACUAGAACUAGAACUAGAGGAACUAGAACUAGAACUAGAUGAACUAGAACUAGAUCUAGAUGAACUAGAGGUAGAACUAGAAGAACUAGAGGGAUCCUCUCCACUUGGAUGAAGAAUUGAAACCCUAGCUUUGAUUCUGUAGAAGAGGUAUGAUCUCCAGGGGCCAGGGGGGUCUGGUUUUAUAGUCCCUUCAAGUGAAUAUGGGCCGUCGGAUCAAACCGACAUUGAUCGUGUGGUUUUCCUUGAAGUAUUAGGUCGGUGGAGCAUUGUCCCCGAAUUGGACUCUGUUUGGUCCAGGGGGAGGGUGGGCGCCCUCAGGACUAGGGCGGGCGCCCUGUCCCUGAGACCUGUCGUCUUCCGCUUUGUUCCUGUGGCUUCUGGAGUCUUCUAGAUGAUAGAAAAUUGCGCGACGCGUUAAUAUCUCUAUGUAAACCCAACGUGUGGGCCUUUCUUCCGUAUUUCCUGAUAACCCCCUGCAGAAAUAGACAAACACCAAAACUCAUGGAAUUCUGUCAGAUAAAACCCUAAGUCUAGGUGUUGGUUCCAUUUAGAUCCUUUUCCAUGAUUAGUUGAUGGUUAAAUGUGAGCAUUAAGGACCGUCAACAAGCUCCCCCAAGCUUAACCUUUGCUCGUCCCUGAGCAAAGAUGGACUCAAGAGUUUCUGCAGUGGUUUCAUAACUUAAAGAUACACAUGCGUUUAAACAAGAUCUCAUCUCUGGUUAGAGUAAACUGUUAAGACUUAAAACUUACUCAUUUACCUUUCACCAUGGGACUUGUAACCGUCACUUCUGUCUUGAGUAGUUAAAAGAUAGAACAGUCUAGUCAAGCACCAUGUCUCUUGUUCUUCGAUUAACUAUAGCUCUGGAGUUUUUGCAGAUUUUCAAAUAAAACUCAGAGAUUGCUUGUAUGACUCUCUCUAGUCUCUCUUUUGUGGUAUUUCUGGAUCCUUACCAAGGCAGUAUUGGUAUAUGCCUUCUCUCAAAGUAUGUGGUAUUUGUGGUAUAGGCAUAGUGGCUUUGCCUUCUUUCUCACCCUACUCUAAUAAGGCUUUUGAUAUCUGGAGCUCAUAGGUGGGAGACAGCUAAUACAUACUUACAAGACAUUUAUUGCAUAGUCAAACCAUGGAUCCAGAAGAACAAGUCAAUAAGUCAAAUCAAGAUGUGCAUGUGUGGCGAAUGAAUGGUGUAUGAUGAUGAUGGUGAUAACAAUGGUGAAAGUCUAAUUCUACUUUUGCUCUUUUGAGGGGAUACAUACCUUCCUUGCUCUUUUGAAACUUUCUGAGGAGAAUGAGAUGCUCUAUAUUUUCUUUUUUUCUUUUCUCUCAGGUGGGUAUCUUGUACCCCUAAUUCUACUGUCGGACACUUGUCCAUUUUUACCUCUCGUCUCACUUUUUUUUUUCGAGGUUCCGGGCACUUGCCCCUUUUUAUUUCCUCGUAUACUUUUUUUUCUCUUUUUUUUUAGAGCACUCAUCUCAUGCGAUAAUAUAGCAAGUGGUAGUAACAAGAUAACUUGAGCAUUUAUUUCACAGGGGAAAACAUAAAUGUUUUUGGCUAUUCUCUCCCUGAUUAGGAGUAGAAUAUUUUUGGGUGGUUCUGGAGAUGGAAAUGGAUGGAUAUAUGUGGAUGCGUACUUCUGGAGUAGAAGCAGCAUGUAUGAGUGAACGUGCAAGUGAAUCUUGAUUUAACCGCAUGACAAGCUCCAAAGGGUCUACACAGCUUGACCACACUCAAUGCUCAUAAGCAGUAAAAAGUAAAUGUGUGGCUCAAAGUCUAACAAGCAUGUAUAUCUGGCUGUGGUAGGAAUUUAAAAUCUCAUCAUACAGGAACUCAUCAUGCAACAUUUUAAAGAUUUUCAAUGAUAAAAUUCUCCUGAAUUCUAGCAUCUCUAGGAACAGAUAAACAACAGCUCAACCUUCCCAUAUCGUAUCCGUUAACGACUUAGACUUUAGAUCAAGUACUCUCCCCACAAGUUCAGGUUUAGAGCAAAUUUUAAUUAAUACCAGUCAUGCCUAAACUUAAGAGAGAUUUCAAUUUUUAGAACUAAUCAUGGCAGAGCAACUAUUCAUCAUUUCCAUGUGAGAGCUUAUCAUGAGGGCUCAUAGCAAACUUUAUUUAUUUAUUUAGCAAACUAAGCAAAGAUAUAUAUAAGCACAAAAUCUUUAUUUGGGUUUCUAUGAAUAUGCAUCAUUUUAUUAUUAGAGUAGUAUAAACGUGAGUAGAAUACUUAGCUGGAUAAAUGGGGGUGCUCUCCCACAAGCUGGAUUUUGACGUAUUUUCUUCUGUUGUAGCUAGCACAUGGCGGAGGUGAAUUUGAAUGUCUGCAGCACUCUGACAGCGAGUAGGAUGUCCUCCGUCUGCUAGUCUUCUUUGAUCCUUGAAUUCUGUGGAGCUCAAAUAGACAACAAAGCUUUGUGGAACUAGUUAAGUGUUAGCAUAAAUAUCUAGCCUUUAUCAUGUUGAGCCUCCUCAAUAAAUAUUACUUUCUUUGGUAGGAUCAUAAAUUUUUUUUUAUAUUUUCAUUUUUAUAGGACAGGAAUAUAUUUAUUUUAUUUUUACGCCACCACAGUGAAUGUACUUAUGGGUUUUAUGCCAUGAGCAUACUCACAUGGGGCUUACUAUUUUUAACAUUUUUAUUUUCUUUUCAAGAUGAUGUGAACCUGAUUAACUAAGCAAACUAUUUUAAAUAAUUGAAAGGAGAAAGAUAACUACCAAGUUUACCUCUUGGCAAGGCGUUCGGUGUUUUUAAGUCCUCCGAACGGGACUCUCCGUUUUCUCAGUUGUCCUAGGGUUCGCUGGAUGGCGUAGUCGGUGGUUCCGGCGGCACCUCCUCUUCAUGUAUAACUAUCUUCUCUUUCCUAACUCGGUGCUACGGUCUCCUCACGACAGUUCUGUUCAAGUUGUAUGUCUUCAGACCUCACAACUUCUCCUUCAUAGUCUACCCAUUCGUCCUUGAUGAUUUGCCUCCUCUGGUUGCGGUUGCGUCGUCGUCUUCUUGUCCUGACCUGCUUAGAAUCUUCAACUACAUAGUUAGGGUCAGUAAAAUAGCGGCGUACCUUCUCAGAGGGGAAGUGCAUGUGGACUUCUCUGGUUCCAAUGUAGAUGAUUGCUUUAACGGUGCUGAGGAACGGUCUCCUAAGGAUGAUGGAUGGAUCGUACUUGUCUUCUCCCAUGUCAAUAACCUUAAAAUCAUCUGGAGCUGAAUGUAUGUUGGUUGUAGGGACAUGGUUCCAUGCAGGAGCUAAUAAGUGACUACAGCCAUUAUGUUGACGUCAGAUCCUGUGUCGUAGAGUGUCUUCAGAAAAGAAUAUCCGUUGAUUGUGCACUCGAUGCUUGGGACACCAGGGUCGUCCUUCUUGAUCAAGAAAGGUGACUUGAGUUGACGAUCUUGACCUCCUUGAGCUGCAGUGACCAUCUUAGCUGACUCGGUACACAUUUGCUUGUUCUUGUUCCUCCUGUUGGUCCUCUUCCUUGGUUCAUGUCGUGAUUGCUCUGGGAUUUUUGUAGUCUUGUUUCUUGAAGGAAAAUGUCUCCUUCUUCCCCUUGAUGUAGAAACUGAUCCUGGUAGCACUAGCGUAGAUGAUAGCUCCCGAGGUGUUCAGGAAUGGCCU
rnacentral:lncRNA from 1 species